rnacentral:lncRNA from 1 species
AAACUCAGCUUUAUAGUGCUCCUCUUUCAGCUUUUGAAGUCGGUCUGCACCAGAAUUCUGCUUUUUCUUCAGGUCCACAGGCACCAAUGCCUGUUACUGCUUUUUCUUCUGGUCGACAGUCACCUUUGCCUGUUCCUAAUUUUGUGUCUCAACAAAUGCAACCAAAUCAGACCAGUUCUAGCUCCAGGAACCAACAUGAUUUUCUUGCGAAAGACUUGGAAGGUUGGAGCUUGGUGGAAAGUGGUCGUGUGAUUGAUCUCAGGAUGCAGAAUGAUAUGAAAGUGUCUAAUGUUGCUUCGUUAUCUCUUCCCGUGCAGCAAAUUAUCAGUCCUGGUUAUACAGGUAUAUAUUCUCAGGCAGUAGGCCCGGGAACCAUUACGCAAAACCAGAUCAACCCAAUUUCAUCUUCUCGGGCACCGGAUGUGCCAAAUAAUUUUGAGUUUGUUGCAUCCUCUGGAUACAAUGGAGGCAUCAUUGCACCUAAGGUGUCUUCAGCAUUGCAAGCUAUGUCUAUGAAAGGUCCAGCCAAUCGUCCUGUAAGGCAUUUAGGCCCUCCACCCGGGUUCAACUCUGUUCGUCCAAAGCAAGGUUUUGAACCGUCUGUUGCAAUGAGUGGUGAGAAUCCAUCAGUGGAUAAUUAUAGCUGGUUGGAUGGAUAUACGCAUCCAUCAUCUAUAGGUCAUUCGAGUCUUAAACAGUCUACUGGAUAUCCAUCACAUCCAGGAUUUCUGUACAGUGAAGAGGGCAAUGCCCCUUUAGAGGGAGCUCGUUUCCCUUUUCCUGGAAAACAAGUUUCUUCUGCGCAGUUUGGAGCUGAAGAUAGAAAUGGACAGAUUCCAGAGAGUUUAAACUUGCCCAAUGAACAAAUGCAGCAGCAGCAGCAGAGUGUUCCACCACCACAGCAAUACCAAGGCAAAUCUUUCUUGAUGAAUCAUCGUAUCGUGUGAUAAAAAUCUGAGACAUCAAAUGGUGAGUUUCUGCCAUCUUCUGUGCAGUAUAUACAUUCUAUUAUUAUUUCUGAAUUGGAUUAAAAUGUAUGUAUAUUACCUGACUUUUUACUGUUUGUAGUAAUUUGAGAUUUGUCUAUCUGAUUUGAUAAUCUUAGGCCCUUGAGCAUAAUUCUGAAUUCUGGAUGUCUGGGACAAACUUUUGUUAACGAAGUCUGGAUCCAACUUGAAACCCUUCCUGUUUUCAUACAUGUAUGUUGGAGCACAUUGUUGGUGGCAUCUUGCAGGCCCUUUAAGGUAAACCCUGAUCUCUCUUUCUAUAUUGUUUUGCUCAAGAUUCGAUCAGUAAUGAUGGAGCAUACAAGACUUUCUGUGAAGAUAUUAUUUUGAAAUAGUAAUUGACAUGAUGUUUUGCGACCUCUGUGGUUAUUGUUGGACCACGUGCAGAUUGCAAUAUACUCUUUGCGUGGAGGAAGAUUGUGAAGGUUUCAGCUGGCUCGUUACCCAUCAUUAAAUCUACUGUCUGGUUAAUCUGCGGAUGGAACAUGUCAAUUAUGCCAUUGUUAAACUUUGGUCAUUGUCUUUAAGAAGAAAGGGUGAAUAUAGUAAAAUCUAAUGACGGUUUUACUUGGUUCUGUUAUGCCCUAUCAGUGAACACAAGCAUAGUAUCUGGUGGCUAUUAGCAUCAGUUGGACGAUUUAUGUGUUGCUCGUUUGCUGCUUGCUAAAAUAAUUAUCUGCUGGAUGCAGAAUGAUAUAUAAUGUUAAGUUACUUAAGUUUUUGUAUUGAAGUCUGAGGACAUGAGUUCAAUAAAUGGAUCAUGGGAUCUAUAGCUCAGAAGCCUGGUUUUUUCUUUCUUUAUAAACUUGAUUUAGACUUCUGUGUUGGUGCGUUUAUUUUGUGCCUAUAUAUUGUUAGAAUAGAAUGUUGUACCUUUAGGUUGAAUGUUCCAAACAUGAAAAUGUUGUGGCAUUGUCUGAUUUGACCUGGGCGAAAUGUUCCGAGUCUCCCUCUGACAUGUUUCAUGAUUUGCUGGAAGCCCUUGUUCUCUUCAUUUAGACUGGUAAACCUCCAAUACUUGCCACAAUUGUCUUCUUGACUUUUCGUGAUUGAUCACCUUGUUCAUCCCCCUCGUAGCAAAUAUGAUUACCCGCUUAUUUAUUAUCACCGCUAAGCUCUCUUGACAUUUGACAGACUUUGGUUCAUUUCUCUUCAGAAACGCUUCUAUUAGCUUCUUGUGUCAUGCAAGUGCAGCUUUUCUCCGUUCUCUUCUUGCAUGUUUUUAAGCCAAGCAGAAUGGCGUAGAAUUUUGCUUCGAGAUUUAAACUGCUGAAAAAUCAUAAAAUGUCGAGAAAACACAUUUUGCAACUCAGGGUAUACAGAAACCGUGUUGUCUCUCCUGUAUAUGUUCUUUCAUCAUAUUUCCGUUGACAUGUUCUUUUAGCAUAAUUUAGUGUUACACAAUAAUAUUAAUAUUGUGACAGUGUCGGAUCCGAAAGGGUGCACCGACGAUGCUGACACCCCCGAUUCCUAUAAUAUUUCUUGCACUAUACUAUAGUUUAUAAUAUUUGGCUGCAUUUCUAAAAAAUAAAUUCAGCUCUGUUAAAUACUGUAAUUACUUAAAAAUUAUUGAUGGCAUAUAGUAUUUUUUUAUAUAUAUAUAAAUGAUUGUUUCUUGGAUUUCUAGAUCCAUGGACAGUAAAACCGCAGGAAAAUUCGAUUUUUUCAUGGUUAAAGAGUCCUGUCAAUAUAAAUUGGAACCUUGAACCCAACACAGAUUAAUAUUUCCUUGGAUAUCCAUUUACAUUCUCCAUUCCCAUCUACCAACCAAACACCCCCUCAAUUUCCCCGCAAUCUCCGUUUCUCUUGAGAAUCAAUAUAUAUCUCCGUUUCUCUUGAGAAUCAAUAUAUUUACUCUGAUACGAUACUAACUAGUAUGCACUACAAAACACAGGAUGCAAACAUUGGUGUCAAGGGAACAACAAACAUGAUUCACCAAACCAGCCAUUAUUUGUGUCAUUGUUUGAUGAGAAACAAGAGUUUUUUCUUGGACAACUAUGUAAAGAACUAGACAAGCGAAAUCAAAAGCAACAAGCCACGUGCAUGCAUAGUAUCAUUUCUCCAUAAUGCGCUUGAAUCUCUUUUCUGGAGGUCCGAUGAACAGCUCAGUCUCCACGUCUGAGUUCUCGCUGGUUUCUGUUGUGGAUGUUAUGUUUCCUCCGUCUUCUGGCGAUUCUUGUCGCGGUUGAACUUCAUACUGAAAAAUCAUUCAAAAAUUAAAUCUGAGUUAAUUACGUCAGUACUACUAACAAAUUUAGAGGUCUUUUGGUCUAGUGAAUAUCCAUCUUGCGUAGGGCUGUUUAACGAACCGAGCUGUUCGCGAACAAGCUCGAGCUCGGCUCGUUAAGAGCUCGUUCGGCUCGGCUCGUUAAGUUAACGAGCUCGAGCUCGAACACAAAAAAUUGUUCGUUAAGUAAACGAGCUCGAGCCGAGCUUUUAGUAUGUUCGGCUCGAGCUCGGCUCGAGCUCGACUCGAGCUCGCUCGGCUCGAGCUCGGCUCGUUAAAGCUCGAAAAAAUGUAAUAUUUUUGGGGUUUUUUUUUAUAAUUUAUAUAUGUUAUUGAACUCAGAAUUCAACAUAUAAUUUAUAUAUAUAUAUUUUAGUGAUGUAACCAAAAUUUCGGAAAAUAAUAAUUUUAUAUGGUUUGCUAUUUUGACAGUCAAGUAGAAGGUUAACUAGUACCGCUAACUAGUGUUUAAUCAUAAAUUAGUGUUUCAAUUUUUUAAAAAAUAUUUCUUACCGAUCCAACCUCAUGGAUGUUAACAUAUAUACAUUUUAGUGAUAUAAACAAAGUUUCAAAAAAAUUAAAAUUAUUUGGUUAGCUAUUUUAAGAGUCAACUAGCGGUUUGUCUUUAUUUUUUUUCUGGCUCGGCUCGACUCGACUCGACUCGGCUCGGCUUGUAUUUGUUCGCGAACAAGCUCGUGUUCGGCUCGUUAGUUAACGAGCCGAGCUUGAACACAAUUUUUGUUCGAUAAAAAAGCUCGGCUCGGCUCGGCUCGUCAGAAAAAAAAUUAAAGCUCGGCUCGGUUCGGUCAAAACUCGGCUCGGCUCGGUUCGUGAACAGCCCUAAUCUUGCGUAUGCUUCACUCCCUGAAACCCUACUUUCUAAUGUGUUCAGGUGGGUUUGGUUUGGUUUAUAAAUACUAUUGAAAAUUUUAUUUGCCCAAGGUUCAGAAACCAUAUAUUCUCAUCGAAUCUAAACUCUCCUAUUUCGGAUGAAACUGAAGUUCAAACUUCAAAACCGGUGUAAAGUACAAAACCAUGACACUGCAUAAUACCGCAGGAUCUUGGUCUGAUAGUAUCUCCAUGGCUUUCUUUACGAGAUGUCGAUGUUGUCAAAAACGAGAUGUGUGUGUGAGUUUCUAAUUAAAAAGAAAACCAUUCAUGUAGAUUACCUUGGCAAGCAGCAUUGCGUUAUCUGCUGCAAGAGUCUUCUCCUGAAAUUUUAUAGAAUUUAGAAGAAAAAAAUUAUCAGACCAUCAGACCCGAUUCUUUUAUAUUUAUUUUCGAUACCAAGUAGCUCGACUCCUUUAUUUUCUUCAGCAUAGCAGCGGUUUAAAGAGUAUUGCUUCUAUAAAUUUACAAUAGUUAAGUACCUUUUCCUUUAAUUGUUCGAUCUGCUCUUUGAAGACCUGCAUCUGAAAUAUGAACACACGAAUUUAUAAGUACUUAAUAAAUUUGAAUUAUGCAAGAUUAAUCUCUUAAACCCUCAGUUUAAUGUUUUCAUCGUUAAAAAGAUACCUUUCUGGCUCGAACAGUGCUCACACUCUUCUCCAGCUGCUGUUCUAUCUGUUGCAGUUCAGUAAUGGAACACGAUCCCAAACCUUCUCCCAAUAGUUUCCUAUGUGCAUUUGAUAUGUUCAACAAUUUUGAUAAUAAGCCUAUUUAAGUGCCAAGAAUGUGUAAGAAGGACCGUAAGCUAACCUCUUUGAAACUUCAAGAAGCUCUAUCUUCUUUGCCAGAGUUGCUGUUUCAUGCUUUAGAUGCUGCAAUUUAGUUACACCACAAAAUAAGAAAUACUGCCUUCAUAUUCGAUGUCUUAAAAAGAACUUGUGCCAAAGUUUGAUGAUAUGAACAAAGAGCUCUAAAAUACACUUCAUAUGGUUCAGUGUCAAGUCUCUACUUGUUUUCUGUUGGGUUACUAAUUUGAGUCUCGUUAAAUGUUAAUAUAUACAGGCAGGGGCGGAACCUGGAGAAACUAACAAACACGUGUGUGUUCAAUGUAACCAAACACGAACAUCGAAAUCAGUGUGUACAAAUGUGUGUGAAAUUAAAUUGUUGAAUGGAUGAAAAACCUGCAUGUUUUGCGCCACAGGCGUGUUGUUACUUUGAACAUCCUUAGUGUGUUUGCGGUAUCGUUCGAUGGUCUCAUGCAUGCUGCACGGUUUUAAAACAUUAUCAAACAUAUCAAAUUAAUUCUUAGAAGUGUUUUGUGGCAAAAAAUAAAAAUAAAAAAAACUUAGAAGUGUUUACACAGUUUGGUGCAGUGGGACAGAAAUCGUAAACAGGCAAAUUAGUGAUCAUAAGGACCAAUUAAGACUGGGAUUAGUUUAAAGAAACCUCUGUAGGAAACUGUAAAAACCUCUAUGUCGGAGGCAAACAGCUAAGCACAGAAAGUAAUACCGAAAUAAAAAUUUAAGAAAAAUACAGUCAAGAUACUAUUCCUCAUUGUGACUUCCUAGCUCCCCCACAGACCACCACCGCAACUUUUUUUGUGUUAAUUAAGCUUAGAAAUUUAAAUAUUUACGUUCCCAGAUCUUAUACUAAGAAAUCUCUUACACAUUAGUUAGUUACAUGAUAGAAAAUAAUCCAAUUUUCCAGCAUAAUUCUAAUCAUUCCCUAAAUUUUUAGUAUUUAUUUUUCAUUCCCCUUAAAUAGGUAAUGACUAACCCAUUCGUUUUACACAGUCUUUUCCCUAUUUUUUCUAUCAGUCUUUCUAAUGUGUGCCCAAAGGCACAUAAUAAACACCAACUUUUAUGAAAAUGAUUUCUUCUGAUUGGUAUAAUUGAUGUGAAUGCAAAGGAGCCAUUAACAUUUAUUAUUCAUUCACCAAUCAAAAGCUAGUAUUAAUCUCAUGAGAGUUAGUGACUAGUGUGUGCCCACGGACACAUUAUAGAAAAUUCGUUUUUUAUAUGAUCUUUUUGUUAAUAGAUUUGUAAUUUAAUACUCAUAGUUAUAAGAGAUAUAAUUCGAGAUUAUUGUUGGAGUUUUCAUUUGCUAUCAAUUUCUUUUUUUCUAGAAAUUGAAUUAUUAAUGAUACAGUUAGGAACCUCACUAAGAUACUGUCAGAUAUACUCUCAGACUCAGCAUGGAUAAUACAGCAUGUGUAUAAUAAAUACGAACUAAGCAUAAAAGCCCGUGCGAGGCACGGGCUCUAGUUUGUGUUUGUAUUUUAAAUAAUAUCCAUGUGUCUUCGUACUAUUUCGAAUGUAACUAUUACGUUUUAUUCUUUGACAAAAUAUGUAAACAUGAAAAUGAAAUAUUUGAAACCUAAUAACAUUAAUGGUAAGAAUAAGUACUAUAUUUUUAAAAAAUUUAUAGAUCAAAAACUCUAUUUGAACUGAUUUUUUUAUAUUCAAAUUCGUUAGGAUAUAGAGGCCACUACCAUAUUAUUUAUAUAUUCAAAAUCAUAUUCGAAAUUAAUAUUGAAACUUUUAGAUUUUAAAUAUAUUAUACCUCAUUAAAAGUAUAUGUAAUAUAUUGUUGAAAAUUAUUAAAUUAUUUCAUCUAAUAUAACAUAAUUUUGAUGAAAACUUUUUCUUGAUAUGUGAAUUACGAUAUCCUAAAUCAUGAUUAGAUGAAGAUGUGUGAUCCGCGUUGUUUUAAAUUUAUUUCUUCUUAUUGAUCAUACGUUUGCGUAAUAGCUAAGUGAUACAUGAUGGGGCGGAUUUUAACAUAUGUUUCACACACAUUGUACAAAUAGGAAUUGAAACAUAUGUUGUAUGUAGAAAGAGUCAUACCUUGUUUUAUUAUAAAAGUAUCAAUUGAACUACUAAGCUUAUAAUUGUACCCCAAAAAUAUUCUGACACCUUUGAUGUGGCUUACCCUGUUAAUUUUCAUAUCAAUUAUAUAGUACUUCAAUGUCUUAGAUCUCAAAAUGAUUUUACUUUUUGAUUUUAAAUAUAUUAUGCCUCAUUAAUAGUAUCUGUAAUUUAUUGUUGAAAAUUAUUAGAUUAUUUCAUCUAAUAUAACAUGAUUUUGAUGAAAACUUAUUCUUGAUAUGUGAAUAAUGAUAUCCUAAAUCAUGAUUAGAUGAAGAUGUGUGGUCCACGUUGUUUUAAAUUUAUUUCUUCUUUUUUGAGCGUAGGUUUGCUUAAUAGUUAAGUGAUACAUGAUAGGCAUCAUCAAACACAUUUUUUUUCGGCAUAUGUUGCGCACACUUUGUAUAAAUAGAAAUUAUAACAUAUAUUGUAUGUAAAAAGACCCAUACCUUAUUUUAUUAUAAAAGCAUCAAUUGAACUACUAACCUUAUAAUUGUACACAAAAUUUUUUGACACCUUUGAUGUGGCUUACCCUUUAAUUUUCAGAUCAAUUAUACAGUACUUCAAUUUCUUAGAUCUCAAAAUGAUUUUUUGGAAUUUCAAAUAGCAAAAAGAGAGUAGAUAUGAGUUAGGAACCAUGAAGUUUAUAAUAACAUGAAAUUUGCAUAUUAUGUUCAAUGUUAAAAAUCAAAUCAGGUAUUCGAUAUUCUAGAUUAUGGGAAAACUAUUCUUGUUUUAGUCCCGUUGAGUCAGAUAGUAGUUUUCACCAUAUCGCGUCGGAUUGUCCGGUUCAGAAUUAAUUAUAUUUUAUUAGUUUAAUUGGUAAAAUUAUUAAUUAAUUUAAUUAUAGUUUGCAUCAUUUUAUUUAACUGGUAUGUUAUAUGUUGAUUGAUUGCAUAUUAAAAUUAUACUUUUAAGACUUUAAUAUAUAUAACUUAUUUCUCUGUGUUAUUUUAUUUUAACCAAGUAAAAUUUAUAACUCAAUUAUUUUUAGUAGGUCACAUAAACGCUUUUUAUUAUAAUUUGGUUGCCUUUUGAUUAGAAAUUUAGAAUUUCCCUAAAUUCACUUUAUAUCACAAGUCGUAAUAUUUCAAAUUCAUAUAUCAUCAAAAUCACAUCAUCUAGAUAUAUUUUCUAACACCAAAUUUGAUUUUUUUUGUCAUUAUUCUUAUAUCUAUAAUUUUUAAAAAAAAAAUUAACAUGACAAAGUCCAUGUUAAAAGUCCAUCAAUUCUUCCUUUCAAAGAUGCUCACUGAAAUCUCAUUUUUAUUCGAAUAUGAAUUGUAUCUAUUUUUAGAAAUCUGAAACAUGGUUCGAGCUCGAUUAUUUAGAUUCUUUUUCAAAUUUAAAUUUAUUUAUGUAAAUACUUAAUUUAUAGAUAUUAACCUAUCAUGUAAAUAAUAUAUGCGGGUUAACUGAAAUAAUAACUUAUCUCAGAUAAAUAAGAUAUUGAAAAGAAUAUAAAUACAACAGAUUUAAUGUAUGUGAGUAAUGUUUUUGAAUAACAAACCAAUUGAUUGUGUAGCUCAAGUGGUUUGAGCUGUGUAUUCAUGUUGGAGAGGUCUUGGGUUCAAUUCCUAAGAAUAACAAAUUUUUUUAUAUAAAUGAGGAUGAGUCAGGUUCGGAGUUAGGCUCGGGUUCGGAGCUAGGUAAUUUAUUUGCUCAGGAGGGAGGUUUGACACGAACCUGUUGGGCUAUUAUCUAUACUAUACUAUAAUAAGCCAACAUGAGUAUAAUUUGUAGUCCAAGGUUUUAGUUAUAUUUUUUGGUUUGGUACUCUCCUUUUGGUACUACAAGUCUACCAAUGUGGAGUCUAUUAGUAUUAUAAACAGUUUCAAAUACUAAAAACACUCAUAACAAUACAUUAUCAUAUAAUAUUUCAUUAAAAAAAUUAUAAUGAUGUUAUAAAUAAAAUUAUAAAUAUACAAUUUUGAAUAUUUUUUUAAACAAGAACCUUCAUAUAACUCUUUUUAACUUUAACGUGUUCUAUUUCAAUAUAACAUUAUAUAAUUAGAUUGCUGAAUCUUUCAAAGGUAUUACACGAUCGGCUAUGAUUGGAAAAGAUUAGAAUUUUCUGAUUUUUUUUAUUUUUAAAUCUAUGUGUACUAAAUUCGGAUUAAAUGUACUAAAAUCCUAAUAUAUAUUUAUUAGGGUUUGUCCAUUUUGAAGUAAUCGGGAGAAAAUAUAGUCAGUUGAAUAAUAUAAUUUAAUUAAAAUUCAAUCCAUUAAUACUAAAAUACUAACAAAAUGAUGUUAAAAUUUAAAUUAUAAAUAAUAAAUUACGAACUAUAAACCCGCACGUGCUUCGCACGAGUUAAAGGCUAGUUUCUUCCUCUUUGUUUCGAAGCAACAUUCUGUUCAGAUAAUACACGAAAAGCAUAUUCAACAGAUGUUCUGGUAAGACAGUGAGCACUCGAUCUACAAGCAAGUAGGUUGGUAAAUAGUAAAGCAAGAUUAAAUAAACUAUAUCCGAAAACAAAAAUCUUCAGUGAUUAUCCACUAUUCCGAAACAAGAAAUCAUAUCCUUGGACACAAAUCACACACGACUACGCACAACGCACUCUACUGCUCAUCUCAUCCUCAACUUGACAUACUUUUAAUCUUAUAAGCAGCACUCAACUUUACUGGAAUAUGCAAUGGUACCAGCUGCAUAUGUAAAAAUUGCAACUAGGUACCUCAAGUAUCAACUAUUAUGCGUGCAUAUUCAUGUAAGUUGCUACACUGCCUAUUUUGCUAUAAUCAAAAUAUUAACAGAAAUAUAAGAUUAUACUAAAGUUAUUAUGUUAUAGGUAAUUUUGAUAAAAUGUGGAAAUUAGUGACAUAUGAUGUUUGAUUUGUUUACAAAUUUAUUUAACUCGAUUUGAUCGAAACCGGUAAUAUAUAGGGUUGGGUUACAAACUUUAUUUCUUAUGGUUGGAUUACAAAAUUUGAACCGCUCUGAUUAGGUCGAAUAUUAAAACAGUCUAUCCCAACCUGAACACUCCGAAUCGAUAUCUUUUAGUAUUAUUUAAAUUUGAAACUGAUGAAUCUGCAAUUCAUCAUUCAUGCAUCUACAAAAUGCAACUAGGUUCCUUUGUCUACACAGUUCAUGAGAAAGAACAAGUGGGUCUGAGUGAAUGCGUUGUGUGUGUAGAUAGAGUAAAAGAUGGGCUUAUUUGCACUUCUUAUAUAUUUUGAUUGUUAAUUAUAAAUGUAGACGAAUUUUAUAUUACAUUGCUUUUAACUAGCUAUGAAAAUUAAAUAGAAGUCUAAAAUAUGUCCUUGAAUUAUUAUGUAUCUACGGGUAUCUAUAAGUUACUCAUAGGCUAAAAAUACCCAUAUUUUUCGAUCUACGAGUUACUUAUAAGAUAUCUUCGUAAUUCAUUCUCGAAAAUGAGGCUACACAGAAUUAGAGUUUAUUAGAAUUAUAUGCAAUAAAAUGAGAAAAAUAUAAUUAACCCGAGAACUCGCUCUCGGGGUCGAAAAAUCCCAAUUUGCAGGUACUGAUACUUCUAGUCGAUAAACGUUCAUUGUAAUUAAACAACAAUACUAAUCCAGAUUGGAUCUUCAAUUGUUGAGUUGCUUUUGAAAAGAUUGGAAAAUCUGAUAAUCAAGUAAUGACAUAUAUAUAUUCCUUCCGUCCCCUCCAAUUCUUAUCAUUUUGAAUGGAGUGUUCGGUACGCAUUUUAAGGCUCAUCCAAAAUAUAGUUCUAUAACUUAUUUUUAAAAUUUUCUUUUUCUGAAUAAAAAUUUAAUGUUUAAAUUUUUAUUCAGGGAAAAAAAAUUAUAAAAAUAAGUUAUGGAAUUAUAUUUUAUAUGAGUAUUGAAAUGCGUGCCGAACACCCCAUUUCAAAUAAUAAGAAUUGGAGGGGACGGAGGGAGUAACAUAUAGUAUAUAUGAGUGCAUACAUGCUUUAUACACACACAUGCUACCUCCAUUCUAGAAAAUAUCUUUUGGCCUCCUCUUAAGUCAACAAAGAUUCGGUUCCUAAAGCAUACAACUUCUGAGAUCUGGUUUCUUACAAAGACACACACCCACACUCAAAGAUCUCCAAAGGAACUCACUGGAUUCGGGUUUUCUGGUUUCUUACAAAGACACACACCCACACUCAAAGAUCUCCAAAGGAACUCACUGGAUUCAACAAACCCUAACUGCACAUAUGCAUGGUUUAUAACUACACAUACCCAUAUGAAUAACACUCAAGAUUUUGCCAAAUAUUGAAGCUGAUGAAAUUCCAAAAAAUGAAAACUACCCAUAUGAAUUACAUUCAAGAUAUUGCAAAAAGAUCAAACCUUUCGAUUAAUAACAGAUGCAUCACUAGAGCUUGAUUCUUUCAAGAAGUAUGUAGAGAUAUGAAUAUGUGUAUGAUUAUAUGGAGUAUGUUUAUGUUUACCUUGAGCUGGCAAAUUCAUGGAGCUUGCCUCUAGGGGAGAAGAUAAUCAAAGCAACUUCAGCAUCACAAAGAACAGAAAGCUCGAAGGCCUUCUUCAACAAUCCAUUUCUCCUCUUGGAAAAAGUCACUUGCCUGCUUGUCGCGUUCUCUAUACGCCUCAUCUGAGUCUUCCCCCUCACCAUUUUCGAUCUCCACAACCUUCAACAAAACCAAAAUUAUAAGUUCAACAACCAUAUGUAUAAAUAAAUAUGCAGAUUUAUCUAAAUAGGCCAUACAGAAAGAAACAAGAGAUAUUCCCUUAUUGUCUUAUAAUUGAACUCAAGUCAGAGAGAAAUCUUACAGAAGAGGAAAUGGAAAAAGAAACAAGAGAAGAGAUGAUUUAGGUGGAGGAAAGAUAGGCCUAAAAAAGGCAAAGAAACAACUUUAUAAAGGGGAAGAGAGAUCCCAAAUUAUUUCCAAGAGAGCACAGAACAAGCCCAAGAAUGGUAGAAACAAAGGUAAGUUUUGUGUUUGACUGAUUGAUUUCUAGUCUUUUUAUGGGUUUUUUACCCAAAUGAAGGCCAAAGAUUCAAUCUUUUUUACUGCCCAUCUUUCCAUUUCUACUCACUGUAUGCAUUUAUGUGAUCUACAGUACAAACACUAGCAGUUUUAUAUUAACUAGUCUACUUGUUUCAAGUUUUCCCCACAAAAAAAAAAAUUUAUUAUAUUUCCGAUAAAAACCUCAUCUUUUGCUAAUUUUGGUAACCCAGAGGAUAGAUAUGGAAAAUAUUGAAAUGGGUGGAGAGAGAAAAAGUAUUUUUGGCAGAAAAAGCUAAAGGAAAAAAAAGCAGAAAAAAUAGAAAUAAAAUUAGGUGUUAAAACAUGCAUGCGUCCGUACAGCUGUUGGAUACGGGAAAAUAAUAAAUAACUGGGCUGGUAGAAUAUGGAAUGAGCCAAUCAGAAAUCGAAAACGCAUCGGGCUUUAAUGAUUUGUUAGUAUCCAAACUUAUUGUCACCGUGGGGUCACAGGCCCACUUGUGAGUUGUGGGUAUCGCUAUUGGCUCAUUCGAAGUCUUGUCUUGGUUUUUUUCCAGAUGAAGAUAACCCAAAAGUAAGUUACUGUUGUCUCUUCUUUUCUGCAACUAUCCACAUUUGUAACCCUAGGACACUGUACCUUUAUAUUUUCAUAUAUUUCAGUAUAUUAUUUUAUAUAAUAAUAAUAAUAAUAAUAAUAAUAAUAAUAAUAAUAUAUUUAUCUUGCGGCACCUUUUAUUAUUUUUUCACAUUUACUUGAGUUAAUUUUAGUUAAAAAGAGGAUGAUCACCAGAAUUUUGUGUCAAAGUGAUUAAAAUAUACUCAUAAAUAAGGCUAUUUUAUGAUUAAAAUUCACUGCUAGUGGACCUUGAUUAUAAUUAUUAAUUAGUAAAAUAAAAGGACCAUAAAGCAUUAAAGCUUACGAUAUACUGUAUAUGAAAUUAUGAAUAUAGUGGCAACAUGAGUCACUUGCCGCUUAGGGGCUCGCAACAGUUGUCGGUUGUGGAAUUCUCUAGAAAAGUAAGCCUGAUAUUUUAAUUUCAGAUAUUUAGAACAUACUCCCUCCGUCUCAAUUUAUAGGUGCAUUUUGGAAUAAACACAAGAAAAAAGUUGGUUAGAUAGAAUCUUAUCUUAUGUAUCAUUAAUUAGUGCAUUGAUAAGUGAGAAUAUAGUUGAGUUUCAAAAAAAUCACAAUAAAUAUAGGGAUUUAGUGCAUUGAGAAAUGAGAAUAAUGUUGAGUUUCAAAAAAAUUACAAUUAAUAUGUAGAUAUAUUUGUAUUUAAAGAAGGGAGGGACAAAUAUUUUGGGACAAAUUUUUUUCUCAAAAUGGACCUAUAAAUUGAGACGGAGGGAGUAUCUACGAUUAGAAAAUAAUUUUAAUUACUGUACCCCCGAAUUUAAAAGAGUAUAUAUGAGUCCUUUGCCCCAAGACGUCACCUAAAUUGUAUUGUAUGCAUUACCUAUUUCGUAUUGGCUGUCUAAACUUUUGAAUUAAGUGGUGGCACCUAAAGUGACCUAGGUAAUUAUGCAAUUCAAGAUCAGUGCUAGUCUAACCUAACUUAUGUAUUUGUGGUUUUAAUUAUAUAUAUAAACAGAAUUAUAAAUAUAUAUUUAUAAUAUUUUAAUUCUAACAAAUAAUAAGGAGAGUUUAAUCUUAUUUCCUUCGUCUCCACAGAUUUUACUUUUUGAAAAUGUAUUUUAAGACUCUUAUAAAGUAUAAUUAAUAACUUUUUUUGAAAAAAAUUCUGAAUAAAAAUUUGACGUUUAAUCAUUUAUUUAGAAAAUAAUAAAUUAAAAAAACAUUAUGAAGAUAUAUUUUAUAAAAACCUCAAAAUAUAUGCAAAAUAACGAAUGUACUAACUAAAAUAUUAAUAAUAUCUUAUAAUUUUAAAUUUAACAUACAGAAUUCGAAUAAUUUUAACAUAUUUCAAUAUAAUAUAUAAACAGAAGGUAAUUUUAAUAUAUUUUACCUGUAACUCUAUUCGUUAUUUUACUUUACUAGAAAGACAUAUAUAGAAGUAAAUCUAAGGCAAUACAUAAAACCCCAGAUUAUAAAGAAUAUAUGUUACCCCCUCCUUCCCUUUUUUAGAUGUGCAUUUUGAUUUUUGACCGAUCAAAUUGAAUAUACUUUGACUGAAAUUUACAUGUAUUAUAUAAUUGACAAAAAUAACAAAAAUUAUAUCAUUAGAAAGUAAAUUUUGUCUAUUUUAAUAUGCAACUUUCGGAUUUUAAAAAUAAUGAAUAGAUAAUUCGUAAUGUUUAGUCAAAAAUUGGUUAAUUUGACUCUUCGAAAAGCAAAAUGGACAUGUAAAAGGAGACGGAGGAAGCAUAAUAUAUUCAAUAAUUAAUCAUAAAAUACCUAUAUUACAUCAAAUCGGAAUCAACAUAAAAGUUAAAACUCUGAAUUUUGCACUUGGCGCUGCUUAUUAUUUCAGUUCAUUUGUUGAAUUGUUGCAGUCCAUAACCUAUACCGACUUUCGUUAUUUGUUACAGACUAUAAAUAAUGCAUUUCCAUAUAAUUUGCUCCGUUGAAAAUUUGGUAUGGAAAUAAUAGGGUAUGAAUUGUUGGAGACAUUCGCGGGUGAUACAAAAUCGGUUCGGCUCACUGUUUCAACGGCCAAGGAUGAUGUUUUGCUAUAAUUAGUUUACGACAACAAGCACAAAACGGUCAUAUAUUAUGAACAGAAAAAAAUUAUAACCCACUUGAUUCACUUAAAAACCUGAAAUAAUAAUUUUUCGCAAAUAAAAUUCAUAACAAUAUAUUUUGAUAAAUGUGCGAAAAAAAUCAAGAAAGAGCAGACAGAAGAGCAGUUAACAUAAUAGAGCCUGUUUGUCGACCUUGGGUCAUUUUCGACUUAAACUGAAAAAUAUUUAUUUGCGUGAUAAUUCAUAGGUCAGCUUAGUGUUAGAAAUAAGUCAAGAACUGACUUAAAAUUAUACGUUAGUUUGAAAUAAUUUUCCGGUCAAUUAAUUUUUUAUAUAAAAACUAUUCUUAAAAUAUAAGUUAUUCAUAAAUCACUUUAAUUUCUAUUAUUAUAUUUUUAAAAACUCACAAAUCACUAAAAAGUUAAAAUUAAAUAAGGAAAUAUUUUAAAUUCUCAACUUAUAUAUUAAAAGUCAUCUUAAAUCAUAAAUGUUAAAUGAAACAUGAUCAUGACUCCAAUAUUUAAAUCAACGGGAAAUGCAAGUUUAAAUUAUUAGAAUUAAAUAUACUACUUUCUCAAAAAAAAUUAAAUACACUACAACUAUGAACUAUCUCAACUGUGCAUUGUUUUCCUCAAUUAUAGAGAGAACAUAGGCUGCUGUUUAGUGUCCGAAAGGGUAAUUAGGCCUCAAUGUGAAUGUGUGAGAGGAUUAGGACCACUAAGCGUGCGAAUCUCUUUCUUUCAUGAAUUGUUAAGUUAAAGAUUACUGUCGUUUAAUUAUGCUCACAUUGUGUGAAAAUUAUAAUUCUGAAUCUAACUAAACAACAAGGAUGAAGAAGAAAGCUAAGAAAAUUACAUUACGCACUUAACUGUAUUUACAUGUUUGCAGAAAAGAAAGAGAUGUAAAAACUGAACUGUACAAGAACAAUGCAAAUGCUAAUAUAUACAGGUGAGUAAAGUCAUGGCUGGAAUCUAACAGAACAAGUGUUCUGUUGUAACAAACUCUCUGAGCUGGCACCACCUUGCUGACACCACCUGGAACAUUCUGGAAACAUUCCUCCACCUCAGCUGAUGUCUGAUAUCGCAACAGCCCCCCUCAAGUUAGGAGGGGAUGAAGACACACCUAACUUGGACAAUAAGGAGUUGAAGUGUGGUGAAGGAGCUACUUUGGUUAGCACAUCUGCCAACUGGGAUGAAGUGGGAAGAUAAGUAAGCUGGAGUAAUCCCUCUAAAACCUUAUCUCGAGUAAAAUGGCAAUCAAGCUCGAUAUGCUUAGUACGUUCAUGGAAAACGAGAUUUUUAGCUAUAUAAAGUGCACUCUGGUUAUCACAGUGAAGUGUUACAGGCUUAAGAUCAUGAACACCUAAAUCUUCAAGAAUACGAACAGCCCAAGUCACCUCAGAUGCAGCUGCAGCCAUAACACGAUACUCAGCCUCCGAUGAAGAACGGGACACAAUAGGCUGCUUUUUAGAUUUCCAGGUAACUGGUGAGCUACCAAGAAGAAGAAUGUAGCCUGUGAUGGAACGUCGAGAGUCUGGACAAGACGCCCAGUCAGCGUCUGAGAAGGCCUGUAACUUAAGAUGGUCUGAUGAGUUUAAGAGAAUACCCUGGUUAACCGUAGCAGCUACAUAACGAAGUGUAUGAUGAAGAGCUGCAAAAUGAGGGCUACGAGGUGCAGUCAUGAAUUGACUCAAACUUUGGACAGUUAAAGAAAGAUCAGGCCUUGUGUUGGUGAGGUAGUUAAGUUUACCUACAAGCGAUCGAUACACUUCUGGAUUGGGGAGUAAAUCACCAUCUGAAUUGUUUAGCCUGAGAUUAACAGGCAAAGGUGUGACAGCAGAUUUGGUGAGUUCAAGACCAGAAGAAGCAAGAAGAUCCUUGGCAAAUUUCUUCUGGCUGACAAAGAAACCAGAAGAGAGAUAAUCGAUUUCAAGACCAAGAAAGUAACUUGCUUUACCCAGAUCUUUGAUGCGGAACAUGUCAUCCAAGUGAGACUUUAAUGACUGAAUAGCAUCAAAAUCAGUUCCAGUGAGUAACACAUCAUCAACAUAAACUGCCACAAUACAGAUUUUACCAUUGCAAUGUUUAGUGAAUAAGCUAUAAUCGUUCUUGGACUGUGAAAAACCCUGACUAAAUAGUUCAGCAACAAGUUUUUCAUUCUAGACCCUGGAAGCUUGUCUUAGCCCGUAGAUGGAUUUUCUAAGCAAGCACACCAAAUUAUUCGGAUUAGGAAUACCUUCAGGUACCUUCAUAUAAACCUCUUCAGUCAAACUACCAUGCAAAAAUGCAUUAUUUACGUCAAGUUGGAACACAGACCAGUUCUUACUUGCAGCCAGAGCAAGUAAAAUUCGAACAGUACCCAUUUUCACAACAGGUGAAAAAGUUUCGUCGAAAUCAACACCAUAUUUCUGAUUGAAUCCUUUCGCGACCAAGCGAGCUUUGCAUCGUUCAAGGCUACCAUCAGGCUUUAGUUUGACCUUGAAUACCCACUUGGAGCCUAUUGCCUUCUUUCCUUUUGGCAAAGUCACCAAAUCCCAAGUGUGGUUAUUAUUCAAAGCAGUUAUUUCAGCCUUCAUGGCAUCAAUCCAAAGAGGAUCUGUAGCAGCCUCAGCAUAAGACAUUGGUUCUGUGAUAGAACAUGGAGUAACUGUAGGCUUAUGCUGGACAAGAUUGCACCAGUGAGAUGAUACUGAAGUAUGACACUGAUAAUUGGAUAAGUAAGUNAAGAGCGUCUUAGUUCUGGGAAUUCAUCAAGAGAACUAAGAUCAACAACAUUAGUUGAAGUAGGAAGGGAAGUAGGCGUAUCUGGUGUAGAAUUUAUGAUGAACUCAUUUGAAGUGGAUGGAGAAUUCUGUACAUGUGAAGAGUUCUGAGAAGCAGUUGCAGAAUUCUGAGGAGGUGAGUUCUGAGAAGAAGGACUGGAGCCACUAGCAUAAUCAUCAUAUACUGGCUUAGAAAUAGAAACAGGUAGAUAUAUGGCCGUGUCAAUUUUCUUAAUCGACUGUGGAUCAUGAAAAGGAAAAUAUCCUUCAUGAAACAUAACAUUUCGAGAUACAGAGAGUUGCUUAGACUUCAAAUCAAGGACCUUAUAACCCAUCUGUCCAGGAGAAUAUCCUAAGAAAACGCAGGCAACACCUCUGGGAUCAAACUUGCCUCUGUGCGCACUUGUCGUAGCAGUAAAGCACAAGCAGCCAAAUGAGCGUAGAUUUGUAAUGUCAGGCACAGAAUUGUAUAUUCUAAAGUAAGGUGUCUGGUCAGCAAUACUGUGUAAAGGAGUGCGAUUAAUGAGAUAAGUCGCACAAAGAAUACACUCUCCCCAGUACAUAGAUGGAACAUUGGACUGAAAAUAUAGUGCUCGAGCAGUUUCAAUCAAAUGCAUGUGUUUACGCUCCACAACACCAUUUUGUUGUGGAGUGUGACUACAACUAGUCUGAUGGAAAAUCCCAUAUUUAUGAAAUAAAGCUUGCAUAUCACCAAGACACAAUUCUUUGGCAUUAUCUGAUCGGACUAUGCGUACAGUAGCAUCAAACUGAUUCUUGAUGUACUGGAAAAAAUUAGCUAAGACAGAUGCACAUUCAGACUUAUGCUUGAUUAAAUGCACCCAUGUAAAACGACUGAAAUCGUCCACUAUUGUAAGGAACUGAGUACAUCCUGAUGAAGACUUAACCUUGUACGGACCCCAUACAUCAAUAUGAAUCAAUUCAAACUUUGAUUUAGUCUUAAUCUGACUAUGAGUAAAGCUAGAUUUAACAUGUCUUGCUUUUGGACAAACUUGACAAACAAGUUCUGUAGGAGUACCACUAAUGUGUGGUACCACUAGCUUCAAUUUAGGAAAAGGAAUAUGGCCUAAACGUAGAUGCCAGACUUUUGCAUCAGUGACAGCAACAUGACAGCUUUUAGACUCUGCACCGCUUUGGACUUUAUUUGUGCUGUAGAGACCUCCACUGAUUUCACCAAGAGGCAUCUGAAACUGUUUCGGAGAAAGGCCCUGUAGGAUACACUUAUCAACAGUAAACAGUAUUGCACAACUAAGAUCUCUGCAUAGCCUUUGAACAGAAAUGAGAUUAAAACGAAAAUCUGGCACAUGAAGUACAUUAUGCAAGAUAAUAUCUGUUGUUAGUUGAACUGUACCAACAUGUUUAACCUCAAUUUGCUUACCAUCUGGGAUAGUAAUAAACUCAGGACCAGAGACAUCUUUAUAACUGGUGAACUCAGCAAGAUUAUUGCAGAUGUGGUCAGUAGCACCACUAUCAAUAAGCCAAUUUAUUUUGGCAUUAUGAUCAAAAAGGAAGCAGAAUUUACCUGCCAGAAGAGCAUGAUGUUCAGUGUCUUUCGAAUGACAAUCCAUAAUUGAGUUUUGAUUGUUGAGAAGUCCCAGAAGCUGAUUGUACUGAGCUGUUGUAAAUGUAGGAGUCUGAUGAGAAUCAUCCUCAUUUGCACCAGUGACAGCAGCAGCAACCUUUUUGUCUUUGAAUCCCUUAAAACCUGGUGGAUAACCAUGAAGCUUGAAGCAACGUUCUGCACUGUGUCCAGACAUUUUACAAUGAGUACAAUAGUAUUUUGAGUUUUUCUUGAGUCCAGGAUUAAACUUUGAUAUUCCUGAAUUUGUAGACCUCUGUGAGGUUACUUGCUUGUUGUCAAAACUUUUCUUGUUAUCAACCAUGAAAGCAAGUGAUUCAGUAUUAGAGGUUAGGUUUGCGAUGUCUUGGUGCCUUUCUUCCUGAGAAAACAUCCUAAAAGCAUUAGCAAUGGUAGGAAGUGGCUGUUGCAUCAGUACAUUGCCCCUGAUUAUAGAAUACUUAUCACUAAGUUUCAUCAUAAACUGGAUUAGCCUGUGGUUUUGUUGCCUUUGAAGGAUCCUUUGAUUGACAUUACAUACACAUUUGUUGCAAGAACAGUAAGGUAAGGGAUCAGCAUCCAACACAGCAUCCCAUAGAGUUCUGAUCUCAGUAAAAAACUCAGAAAUCGAUUUGUUUCCUUGAUGAGACUCAGCUAACUGUUGCUCAACAGAGUAAACUUGUGCCAUAGAAGCAAAACCAUACCUAUCUUCGAGAUCGUCCCAAAUUUCUCUUGCAUUCUUAAAGGACAACACACUCUUAGCAAUACUUUCAUCAAGAUUAGUAAGCAACCAGGCACACACCAUAUCAUUACAACGCUCCCAAGCUUUGAGAUCAACAGAGGUUAAUUCAGGUUUAGCAACAGAACCAUCAACAAAACCUAAUUUGUUUUUCAUAGACAAACUCAACAACAUUGAUCGUUUCCAACUCGUAAAUCCAUUUCCAUCAAAUUUCACAGACACUAACUGUGAGGCACUAUGAUCAGACGGAUGAAUGUAAUAAACACUCGAUUGAUCAUAUACUGGCAAGAUCGUAGUACGAUCAUGAACAUUUCUUGAAGAAUCAGUCAUGUUUCUUUAGUUUCGACUCGAAAAUCACACAAAUUCUCGCAAAAGUACAAUAGUAAUGACUAGAACACUGAUGUAGAUUCAGGACACUAGGACUGAAAUCAAAGAGUUUAGAGUGAUUGCACCUUGAAAAUGAUGCAGAAAGGAGUAAAAAUCGCAGAUUCACAAGCGACUUCGAGCUCAGAUUGAUCGAUAAACGAAGCAGCUUCUUCAAUCUUGACUGUUUCGCUCUGAUACCAUGUGAAAACUAUAAUUCUGAAUCUAACUAAACAACAAGGAUGAAGAAGAAAGCUAAGAAAAUUCCAUUACGCACUUAACUGUAUUUACAUGUUUGCAGAAAAGAAAGAGAUGUAAAAAUUGAACUGUACAAGAACAAUACAAAUGCUAAUAUAUACAGGUGAGUAAAGUCAUGGCUGGAAUCUAAGAGAACACUCUGUUGUAACAAACUCUUAACAAACUCUCUGAGCUGGCACUGCCUUGCUGGCACCACCUGGAACAUUCUGGAAACAUUCCUCCACCUCAGAUGGUGUCUGAUAUCGCAACACAUUGUUCCCACUGCUUCGAAAUGCACCAUUAAAUUAUUAGUAAUAUUUUCAUGUGGACUUCAUAUAAAUCAUCCAAUCAUUUACAACAUUGGUUCACUGUUCCGCACAUUGUGCAUAUUAUUCAUUGAACUUACCGGUUAGUAUUUCCCCACAUACAGAUUCCUAUAUUUAUGAGCUUGCUUAGGGCGCACUAACAAUAUUUCCUAAUUUAAUCAAUGAAGUACGUAUAUAUGGAUUUGCUGCUGAAGUCAAAACUUUAAAUUUUCUAAUUUUAUCAAUAACUAGUUGAGAAACCGCGCGUUGCGGCGGCCUAUAAAAAAUAUAUUAAUGAUUCAAUAUUAAUAUUUGUAAAAUGCUAAUACUAAUAUAUAAAAUUGUAAAAUUGGACUAUAAUUCAUGGUAAAAAAAUGAAAAUAAAUUUCUACACGUAAUUAACAAUUUAAAGCACGACGAAUCUUAAUUUUAUUUGUGUUUUUUUAAAAAAGUAAUCAUGUUCUUACAUUGUCACCUUCCUCCAAUUUUUUUCCGAUUGAUUGUGCACAAAAACAUCUAACUUAAAUCCGUGAGAUAACAGUCUAUAACUACCCUUACUUGUAACAAUAAUACUGUAUGAACAGUCUUCACUUAAAAGUUGCUUGAACGGAGAAAACAGAUAAUGAUGAAUAAUAUUUUUCCGUGUACAAUGUAAAUCAUAUAAAAAAUUAACAACAACAAAUAUGUCCGAUGAACAAAAAAAAAUAUUAUAAAAGAAUAACCAACAAACAUACAUCACUAAUAGUUAAUUUAUUGAUAUCAUCCAUCAAUAUCAUGCCAAGACUAUAUUUUUCUCCCGUGUUUGGAUUUGUCCGACUCCCACAUAACGGUCUAUAACUACUUUCGCUUGAAACAACCUUUAUUUUUUUAAUACCGUAUAAACAACCUUCACUUAUCAUUGUAGAAGAACGGCACCACCGAGUUAGAAAUCGAGCAAGAAAAUUAUCACCAGAGAGAGAUAGGGUUGUGGUAUUGAGAGAGAGUAGGUUGUGUUUAGAUGAUCCAAAACCCUACAACCUAUAGGGGUAUUUAUAAGUGCAGAAUGACUUGUGUGUUACUCUUUUCCAUAAUUAAAUAAUCCGAAACAAAAUCAGAUUAAAACUUUCAAACUGCUAUAUUCCAUAAAUAAUCUGAAACAAAAUCAAAUUCUGAAACUUGCGAAAAUUCCAGAAAAAUAGAAAAAUAGAACAGAGCGAUGUGAGAGGCGCCACCCACACGCCCCUCGCUUCUCCUUUAUAUAGAAACAAAAUUAAAACUUUCAAGCUACUAUGUUCCAUAAAUAAUGUGAAACAAAAUCAGAUCCUGAAACUUGAAUCUAAUAUAUCCGAAACUAAAAAAGGUAGUUCUAAUUUUUGAUAUUUUUUAUCCAAAAAUUUCAGUUAUAUAGAAACAAAAUCAGAUUAAAACUUUGAAGCUACUAUAUUCCAUAAAUAAUCUGAAAUAAAAUCAGAUUCUUGAACUUGCUUCUAAUAUAUCUGAAACUAAAAAAGGUAGCUCUAAUUAUUGAUAUUUUUUAUCCAAAAAUUUCAGAAAAUUAGAAAAAUAGAACGGAGCGAUGUGAGAGGCGCCACCUACACGCCCCUCGCUUCUCCUUUAUAUGAGUAUAUUGAUUUCUUUUCAAAUCUUAUCAUAUAAUAUUUAUGUAUUUACUUAAUUUUUUCCAAAUUUUCCCUCGUACAUCUGUUAUUUUCAUUUAUUUUUAGUUAUUCUACUUCAUUCCAUUCAUUCUCCCCAACCAAACACAUUAAUACAACAUAAGGACGUUAACGAGUCCGAUUGAUAGGAAUCAGACCCUAAAUCCCAAGUAAUGGUGCAUUUACGAAGAGAGAAAAUAGAACCUUGGUUAGAUCUAACCCCCGUUGCCUUCACUUUAUAUGAGUGAGGAGAUCAUUUAUAAUUAAUCCACCGGAGAAGAUGUAGCAACCUCGCGAUUUAUCAAUAAAAACAUAAGUAUUACUCAAAUUGUGUUCUUGUUCUCGGUUUUUAUACUUAACCUUACAGUCGAAAAAAAUUGAAAAUCUGCUAAUCACAUACUCUCUCCGUCCCAGCCAUUUGUAUACAAAUGGUUGGCACACGGAGAUCAAGAAAUUGUGUAAGAAAUGAGUAAAGUUAGAUGAAAAGUGGGUAUAGUGGUAGGAUCCAUUUAUAUUUAAUAAUAAAUUUGAGAUGGUGGAGGAAAGUAGUGGGUUAUUUAUAAUAUAUUUUUUUUAAAAAUAAAAAUUUGAUAUUUAAAUUCUUAUUCAUAAAAGAAAAUUUUAAAAAAAUUAUGAAGUUAUAUUUUAUAAAAACCUUAAAAAGCGUGUAAGUAAUUUAGACGCUGCCAGUCUUUUGAACAUAUGCAACAGUCUGGGUCAGGCGUCCAGCAUCAACGAAAACGAUAUUUUCACUCUGUUUAAUAUGGGCCCCAUAAGUCGACCUAGGAAAAUGAUACUCUAGUCUUUUAUCAACCUUUUAUCUGUCCACCAGUAAUAAAAUUCUUAUUCCGCGUCUGGUUCGUGUAUCCGGAUCAUUAUAAAUUUAAUUAUGAUUCAAAACUUUCUUCAAAAAAUAAAUAAAAAUUGAUAAAUAAUUGAUUCAAAACUUUAGUGAAUAAAAUUAUUUAAAAAAAAUUUCAAACUAAAACACAAGAUAACAAUUAAAAUAUAUUGUUACAUAAUGAUUUGAGAGUAGCUACAGGAUCACGAAACAAAUCAAUUCUUCGAGUCAAUUUCAAAUUAGUUUAAAUUGAUGUAAACUUCGCAUUUCGGAUAAUAUUAUAUGUCAUAUAUGUGUUGGUUAAACGAAGAUAAGAAAAUAUCUAAAUAGGGUAAGAAGAUGAAUUAUUAAAGUGCAAGAGUUCAAUCAGUGGCCAGUUUUAGAACUAGAGACAUAAACGUUUUUCACAACUUCUACAACUACAAGCAACUGUCACAAGGAGUGCUCAUGUAAUUUGCGUUGUUCUGGAACUGUGAAUCUGUGACAGCUGUAUCGUAACAUGCACGACGUCUUAAAGAAUAGGCAGCCGUGUCAUAAUUAAAAUUUUUAGAUGAUUGAUAUUAUAAGAGUAAAGUUCUAUGGAGUCCACUUUUUAUUGGAGUCCUUGGAGUCCAUGCAUGUUCUGCAAUUAAAAUAUAGCUUAAAAUAAUACAAAACACAUUAUAUUCGAAUGAUGUUCUACAAACAUCAUUAUUUUAUUGUAAAUCUUGCGGAUUUCAUAUAUUUUACAAGUAAAACAUUGCAAUAUAUAUUAUUCUAUAAAACAUGUUUAGUUUUGCAGAACAUACAUGUUCAUCUUGCAGAACAUACAUGUUCAUGUUGCAGAACAUAUAUACUGUACUGAGAUUUGUAGGAUUUACAAUAAAGUAAUGAUGUUUGUAGAACAUCAUUCGAAAAAUAAUGUGUUUUGUAAUAUUUUAAGCUAUAUUUUUAAUUGCAGAACAUGUAUGGACUCCAAGGACUCCAAUAAAAAGUGGACUCCAUAUAACUUGACUCUGAUAUAUAAUAUAAUAUAACAAUAUCAUAUUAAACGAAUACUCUCUUUAUUUUUUAAUAUUUGACGCUUUGACUUUGGGCACGUACUUUUAAGUGCUUUGACCGAGUAGUUAAAAAUAUUAUUUUUUAAAUUUUCUUUUUAUGAAUAAAAAUAUAUAAUCAAAAUUUUAAUUUACAAGAAAAAUCAAUUAAAAAUAAUAAUUUUUACUAUCCGGUCAACUCACCUAAAGAUGUGUGACAAAAGUCAAACUAUCAAAUAUUAAAAAACAGAGGGAGUACAUCAAGUAUAGAAUUAUGUGCAACCAAUAUAUAUAAAUUAAGCUUACGCCACGUGAAGAACACGUUUUAGCGAGUAAAUAAUAAAAAAUCACUAUCUUGCUGCAACAUAAUAUAACAUUAAAAAGAUAAAAUAACUAUGUUAUUCCGCACUUUUUGAAAAGUGCUGAACAACUGUUCACAUUAUUGUCACAAACAAAUUGUUCUCACUUAAAUCACUAUCUAUAAUUAAUAUAUAUAAUUUAUGAUAUAUCAAAAAUUAUUCCUUGAAAUCACUUUGUCAUUGGCCCAUAGAAAGAUUGACGAGACUCUCCUUGAAAUUAUUCCUAUUGUUACCCUUUCUUUCGUUUUUCUAGUUCUGCUUCAGCGUCUUUCAACUGUUGUGCUAGUGUUGAUACUCUCCCUUCCAGCUCUUCGAUAGUGCCUCUAGUAACGGCAGGUUUGUAUGCUGAUAAAAAAUUGCGAGAAANAUACUCUCCCUUCCAGCUCUUCGAUAGUGCCUCUAGUAACGGCAGGUUUGUAUGCUGAUAAAAAAUUGCGAGAGAAAUCUUUCAGAGCAUCAACACCACAGACCUGCGUGCACACUCUUCUAUUAAUCAGAGAGACUAGCAGGGAGGGAUCUUGAAAAAUCAAAAUAAGAACAGAGAAAUUCUUCUAAAUAAUCAAGAUGCCUCGGUGCAUAAGAGUGAAUGGCUUAUGGCUACAUAUGCGAGAAUGAUCCAUUGUGGAGUGCUUCAUAUCCGUGUUGAGAGUAUUGGUAAAAAAAUUGGAAAUCGACCUUGCAUGAAUAUCCUUUGCAGUUAUAUGCGAAAUUCUUUACUAUGUGCUGUAAUUUUCCUAAGCCCUGCCUAUAUCUAUUUCGACUUUCGAGUUAAGAAUUAACCCAAAUAUAUGGAGAUCAUGCAAAAAUAAUAGUGCUGGAGCAGGACUCUGUAUAGUUUACCUCUUCUGGCAGCAAUGGCAACUUAGUAAUAUGGAAGUCAUCAUAUAACAUGUAGAAUUGAUCGAGGUACUUCUGUUGCAUCUUCAUUCUAGCAUUUAGCAGCUUCGACUCAACAACUAGAAUUAUAGGAGUCCCAAAAAUGGUUAGCUAAUGUUCCAAACAAUCAUUAGUUGAUUAAGAAUAAGUCUUUACAUUCUACUGAAACAUACCUUCGUCAUCAAAAAGUACUUGAUUGAUGAUAAUAUUAUGUGUAUCUAUCUCAAAUUUACUGAGUUCUUGCACCAGUCUUUCUGUUUCAUAUAGAGAGAGAAACUCCGGAAUGCAUAUACAGACAAAAGUUGUCAAAUCCUGUCAACCAAGAUAAGCUGGCUUUAGUUUGACAGACUUGAACAAUUACCCAUAAAACUGAUAUACAAAGAUGAUGGAAAAGGAAAAUUAUUAACUGAAAAAUAAUUAUUGAUGCAUGCGAUUAUAAUUUUCUUUGUUAAGUCUCUUUUAAAAAGAAUUCUCCCUCGUACUCAAAUAUAUAGACUCCCUCUGUUUUUUAAUAUUUGAUAGUUUGACUUUUUAAUAUCUUUAGGUGAGAUAUUAAUCUCAAAACCUCUUUGGGAUCUGAUUGGACGUUGAAAGAUGUAAGGUACAUUCCUGGACUGAAGAAGAUGUUGAUAUCUGUGGGUCAGUUAGACAAGGAAGGGUAUCGAGUUACUUUCGGAGACGGACAAUGGAAGGUUAUAAAGGGGAAUCUUGUUGUUGCUCGCGGAGAGAAAAAGGGGACGUUGUAUAUUGUUGAACAAUCUAGCUGUGAAGUGAAUUCAGUUCCAGAUGAGAUUGGUUCUUCGAGUUUGUGGCACCAAGGGCUUGGACAUAUGAGAGAAAAGGGUAUGAAGUUGGGCUUGGACAUAUGAGUGAAAAGGGCAUGAAGUUGUUAGCUUCUCAGGGGAAGAUUCCAGAGCUGAAGAAUGUGGAAGUUGGUUUCUGCGAGCCAUGUGUUCUUGGAAAACAGAAACGGGUUACUUUUGCAAAAUCAGGGAGGACACCCAAGGCGGAGAAGUUAGAGCUGAUUCAUACGGAUGUAUAUGGUCCAACAACAGUUGCGUCACUAGGAGGAUCUCGCUACUAUGUCACUUUCAUUGAUGAUUCCACUAGAAAGGUAUGGGUUUAUUUUCUGAAAAAUAAAUCAGAUGUGUUUGUUACUUUUAAGAAGUGGAAGACUGAAGUUGAAAAUCAGACUGGUUUGAAGAUUAAGAGUUUGAUUUCAGAUAUUGGUGGUGAGUAUAGUAGUGAUGAGUUUAAAAGCUAUUGCGCAGAAUAUGGGAUUAGAAUGAUUAAAACUAUUCCAGAGACACCACAACAAAAUGGAGUUGCGGAGCGAAUGAAUAGAACCUUGAAUGAGAGGGCCAAGAGUAUGAGAUUACAUGCAGGGUUGCCAAAGAUGUUUUGGGCAGAUGCAGUUAGCACAGCAGCGUAUCUCAUAAAUAGGGGACCUUCAGUUCCUUUGGGGUUCAAGAUUCCUGAAGAAGAGUGGCAAGGAAAGGAAGUAAAUUUUUCACACUUGCGAGUUUUUGGGUGUGUUUCUUAUGUGCGUAUCAAAGAUUCUGACAGGGACAAGCUUGAUCCGAAAGCAAAGAAGUGUAUCUUCAUUGGUUAUGGCUCAGAUGAUAUGGGUUAUCGUUUCUGGGAUGAACAAAUGAAGAAGGUUGUUAGAAGUAGAGAUGUUACUUUUAAUGAGAAUGCAGUAUAUAAGGAUAAGCUUGAAGUCGAUUCUGAAUUUACAAAGGAACAACCUGAAAAAGAGAAGGCAGUGCUUGAUGAUAUUACAGAAGAAGAUCUUGCAAGAAAUAGUGGGAGUUCUGAUAAUGUUCCAGUUACUCCAGAGGCUGAGGUAAGAAAAUCUAGCAGAACUGUGAGGCCACCACAAAGAUUUUCACCUUCAGCAUAUUAUAUGUUAUUGACCGAGGAUGGAGAGCCUCAGUGUUAUUCAGAGGCAGUUCAGGUGGAUGAUUCAGUUAAGUGGAAAUCAGCCAUGGAAGAAGAGAUGGAUUCUCUUGAGAAGAAUGAUACUUGGUCUUUAACGGAAUUACCAGCAGGGAAAAAGGCUUUACAAAAUAAGUGGGUGUUCACGAUCAAAGAUGAACCUGAUGGCAGCAAGAGGUACAAAGCAAGAUUAGUAGUCAAGGGGUAUCAACAGAAAAAAGGUAUUGACUAUACUGAUAUAUUUUCUCCGGCUGUUAAGAUGACUACUUUCAGAAUUGUGUUAAGUAUUGUGGCUGCUGAGGAAUUACAUCUAGAGCAACUGGAUGUUAAAACCGCGUUCCUACAUGGUGAUCUUGAUGAAGACAUCUACAUGGUACAGCCAGAGGGUUUUCAGAUAGCUGGGAAAGGAAACCUUGUUUGCAAGCUUAUAAAAAACUUGUAUGGUUUGAAGCAAGCACCACGACAAUGGUACUUGAAGUUUGACAACUUUAUGAUGAGGAAUGGGUACACAAGGAGUGCAAUGGAUCAUUGUUUUUACUUUAAACGGUUUGACUCAUCGUAUAUCAUAUUGUUCUUUUAUGUUGAUGACAUGUUAAUAGCAGGCUCAAACAUGAGGGAAAUCAACAAGCUAAAGAGAUAGAUGUCUGAAGAGUUUGAGAUGAAAGAUAUGGGUGCAGCAAAACAGAUACUUGGUAUGAGCAUCAUGAGGGAUAGAUCUGAAGGUACAUUAAAAUUAUCCCAGGAGAAGUAUAUCGGGAAAUUGUUGGAGAAAUUCAGUAUCCAGGAUGCGAAGACCAGAAGUACACCGUUGGCGGCUCACUUUAAUCUUACAAAGAAGCAGUCACCUAAAAUGGAUGAAGACAAAGAAUAUAUGGCUAAAGUUUCAUAUGCGUCUGCAGUUGGCAGUUUAAUGUAUGCUAUGGUGUGUACAAGGCCAGACAUUGCUCAUGAAAUGGGAGUUGUUAGCAGGUUCAUGUCUAAUCCAGGAAGAGAGCAUUGGGAAGCAGUCAAGUGGUUGUUACACUACUUGAAAGGCACAUCCAUGAUUGCAUUAUGUUACAACAAGAAAGAUGUUAUCUUGGAAGGAUUCUCUGAUGCAGAUUUGGGUGGAUGUUUGGAUACAAGAAAGAGUACUACGGGAUAUAUUUUCACUUUGGGUGGCACAGCAGUUAGUUGGAUGUCUCGACUUCAAAAGAGUGUUGCUCUUUCAACCACGGAAGCAGAAUAUAUGGCUAUCUCUGAAGCAAGCAAGGAGAUGAUUUGGUUGAAGAAUUCUCUUGAGGAGUUGGGCAAGAAACAGGCGGACAGUGCUUUAUAUAGCGACAGUCAGAGUGCUAUUCAUCUUGCGAAGAAUCCUGUGUUUCAUUUUAGGACGAAGCAUAUUCAGCUGAGAUAUCACUUUACAAGAGAGUUGAUUAGCAAUGGUACUUUGUCCUUGAAGAAAAUCCUUGGUUCAAAGAAUCCUGCAGAUAUGUUGACUAAGGUGGUUACCAGUGAAAAGUUGAAGCUUUGCAUAGCUUCAACUGGCCUUCAGAAUUGAUUAAUGAGAAGGCGCCGCACUAGUUUGAGUUAUUGAUUGAAGUAGUGGAUUUUACUAGAUUUACAAGAGAAGUGAAGUGAAGAUGAGGUCAGACUCCAAGUGGGAGAGUGUUGGGUUUGUGGAGUCAGAUUUGGGAUAGGAUUUGGUUAGGAAUAUUUGGACUCCUAUUAGAGUUAGAUAUUUCAAAGUUAGACUCCUAUUUUGGUUAGGCCAAUUUCUUUUCGUAUAAAUACUCCCAUGUAAUUGUAAAAUCACAACACAACAAAUUGUGAGAGAUCAAUAAAAUUAGUGUGGCUUUUGGGGUAGGAUUUUCCGAACCACGUAAAAUCUUUGUCUUGUGUGAUUGUCGUUUAUUUUCUUGUUCUUGUUUAUUCGCUUUUGGGUUUUGCUUUCGUUGUUGUAUACUCAACAGAAACCCCUGUAGAAACUGUAAAAACCUCUAUGUCGGAGGCAAAGAGCUAAGCACAGAAAGUAAUAACGAAAUAAAAAUUUAAGAAAAAUACAGUCAAGAUACUAUUCCUCAUUGUGACUUCCUAGCUCUCCCACAGACCACCACCGUAACUUUUUUUGUGUUAAUUAAGCUUAGAAAUUUAAAUAUUUAUGUUCCCAGGUCUUAUACUAAGAAAUCUCUUGCACAUUAGUUAGUUACAUGAUAUCCUAAAUUAUGAUUUUGACAAAUAUGUCACGAAAAUCCACUCUAACGAAAUCCUAGUUACUCCCUCCGUCCCAUUUUAGUUGUCACAUUUGGUUUUGUGCCGGUCAAAUUGAUCAAAGUUUGACUAAAAUUUAUUAAUAUUUUAUCAAUUGAAAAAAUAAAAAAAAUAUAUCACCGGAAAUAACUUUUAAUCUACUUUAAGAUGUAAUUUUCAGUUUUUUAAAAUAAUAAAGGAGUGACUUGUAAUCUUUGGUCAAAAAUUAGUCAAUUUGACCAACAAAAAAGGAAAUGUGACAACUAAAAUGGGACGGAGGGAGUAUUUCCUAAAAGUAUCCACUUUUCCAGCAUAAUUCUAAUCAUUCCCUAAAUUUUUAGUAUUUAUUUUUCAUUCCCCUUAGAUAGGUAAUGACUAACCCAUUCGUUUUCCACGGUCUUUUCUCUAAUUUUUUUAUUGGUCUUUCUAAUGUGUGCCCAAGGUCACAUAAUAAACACCAACUUUUAUGAAAAUAACUUCUUUUGAUUGGUAUAAUUGAUGUGAAUGAGGGCAUUAACAUUUAUUAUUCAUUCACCAAUCAAAAGCUAGUAUUAUCAUGAAAGUUAGUGACUAGUGUGUGCUCAUGGACACAUUAUAGAAAAUUCGUUUUCUUAUAUGAUCUUUUUGUUAAUUGAUUUGUAAUUUAAUACUCAUAGAUCUAUAUAAUUCGAGAUUAUUGUUGGAGUUUUCAUUUGCUACAAAUUUCUUACUUUCUAGAAAUUGAAUUAUUAACGAUACACUAAGGAACCUCACUGGGAUAUUGUCAUAUAUACUCUUAGACUCAACAUGGAUAAUACAGCAUGUGUGUAAAAAAAACGAAAAUCAUAAAGUUUCUUCCUCUUUGUUUCGAAGCAGCAUUCUGUUCAAAUAAUGCACGAAAAGCAUAUUCAACAGAAGUUCUGGUAAGACAGUGAGCACUCGAUCUACAAGCAAGUAGGUUGGUAAAUAGUACAGCAAAAUUAAAUAAACUAUAUCCGAAAACAAAAAUCUUCAGUGAUUAUCCACUAUUCCGAAACAAGAAAUCAUAUUCUUGGACAAAAAUCACACACGACUACGCACAACGCACUCUACUGCUCAUCUCAUCCUCAACUUGACAUACUUUUAAUCUUAUAAGCAGCACUCAACUUUACUGGAAUAUGCAAGGGUACCAGCUGCAUAUGUAAAAUUGCAACUAGGUACCUCAAGUAUCAGCUAUUAUGCGUGCGUAUUCAUAUAAGUUGCUACACUGCCUAUUUUGCUAUAAUCAAAAUAUUAACAGAAAUGAAAGAUUAUACUCCCUCCGUCCCUCCCAUUUCUUAUCAAAUAGGUUGGGCAAGGAGGUUAAGAAAUAUGUAUAAGGAAGUGGAAAAGAGGAAGAAAAGUGGGUGAAGUGGUGGGACCCAUUGAUUUUUAAUGUAUAAAAAUAAGAUAGUGGAGUAAAAGUAGUGUGAAAAGGAAAGAAAAGUGGAGAAGUGGUGGGACCCAUUAAAUAUUUUUGGUAAGUUUUGAAAUGUAAAAAAUUGGAUGAGACACCCAAAAAAGGAAAGUGUAAAGAAAUGGGAGGGACGGAGGGAGUACUAAAGUUAUUAUGUUACAGGUAAUUUUGUUAAAAUUUGGAAAUUAGUGACAUAUGAUGUUUAAUUUGUUUACCAAAUUUAUUUAACUUGAUAUGAUCAAAACCGGUAAUAAAUAGGGUUGGGUUACAAACUUAAUUCUUAUGGGUUGGAUUACAAAAUUUAAACCGCUCUAAUUAGGUUCGAAUAUUAAAACAGUCUAUCCUGACCUGAACACUAUUAUUUAAAUUUGAAACCGAUGAAUCUGCAAUUCAUCAUUCAUGCAUCUACAAAAUGCAACUAGGUUCCUUUGUCUACACAGUUCAUGAGAAAGAACAAGUGGGUCUGAGUGAAUGCGUUGUGUGUGUAGAUAUAGAGUAAAAGAUGGGCUUAUUUGCACUUCUUAUAUUAUUUGAUUGUUAAUUAUAAAUGUAAACGAAUUUUAUAUUACAUUGCUUUUAACUAGCUAUGAAAAUUAAAUAGAAGUCUAAAAUAUGUCCUUGAAUUAUUAUGUAUCUACGGGUAUCUAUAAGUUACUCAUAGGCUAAAAAUACCCAUAUUUUUCGAUCUACGAGUUACUUAUAAGAUAUCUUCGUAAUUCAUUCUCGAAGAUGAGGCUACUCAGAAUUAGAGUUUAUUAAAAUUAUAUGCAAUAAAAUGAGAAAAAUAUAAUUAACCCGAGAACUCGCUCUCGGGGUCGAAAAAUCCCAAUUUGCAGGCACUGAUACUUCUGGUCGAUAAACGUUCAUUGUAAUUAAACAACAAUACUAAUCCAGAUUGGAUCUUCAAUUGUUGAGUUGCUUUUGAAAAGAUUGGAAAAUCUGAUAAUCAAGUAAUGACAUAUAUAUAUUCCUUCCGUCCCCUCCAAUUCUUAUCAUUUUGAAUGGAGUGUUCGGUACGCAUUUUAAGGCUCAUCCAAAAUAUAGUUCUAUAACUUAUUUUUAAAAUUUUCUUUUUCUGAAUAAAAAUUUAAUGUUUAAAUUUUUAUUCAGGGAAAAAAAAUUAUAAAAAUAAGUUAUGGAAUUAUAUUUUAUAUGAGUAUUGAAAUGCGUGCCGAACACCCCAUUUCAAAUAAUAAGAAUUGGAGGGGACGGAGGGAGUAACAUAUAGUAUAUAUGAGUGCAUACAUGCUUUAUACACACACAUGCUACCUCCAUUCUAGAAAAUAUCUUUUGGCCUCCUCUUAAGUCAACAAAGAUUCGGUUCCUAAAGCAUACAACUUCUGAGAUCUGGUUUCUUACAAAGACACACACCCACACUCAAAGAUCUCCAAAGGAACUCACUGGAUUCGGGUUUUCUGGUUUCUUACAAAGACACACACCCACACUCAAAGAUCUCCAAAGGAACUCACUGGAUUCAACAAACCCUAACUGCACAUAUGCAUGGUUUAUAACUACACAUACCCAUAUGAAUAACACUCAAGAUUUUGCCAAAUAUUGAAGCUGAUGAAAUUCCAAAAAAUGAAAACUACCCAUAUGAAUUACAUUCAAGAUAUUGCAAAAAGAUCAAACCUUUCGAUUAAUAACAGAUGCAUCACUAGAGCUUGAUUCUUUCAAGAAGUAUGUAAAGAUAUGAAUAUGUGUAUGAUUAUAUGGAGUAUGUUUAUGUUUACCUUGAGCUGGCAAAUUCAUGGAGCUUGCCUCUAGGGGAGAAGAUAAUCAAAGCAACUUCAGCAUCACAAAGAACAGAAAGCUCGAAGGCCUUCUUCAACAAUCCAUUUCUCCUCUUGGAAAAAGUCACUUGCCUGCUUGUCGCGUUCUCUAUACGCCUCAUCUGAGUCUUCCCCCUCACCAUUUUCGAUCUCCACAACCUUCAACAAAACCAAAAUUAUAAGUUCAACAACCAUAUGUAUAAAUAAAUAUGCAGAUUUAUCUAAAUAGGCCAUACAGAAAGAAACAAGAGAUAUUCCCUUAUUGUCUUAUAAUUGAACUCAAGUCAGAGAGAAAUCUUACAGAAGAGGAAAUGGAAAAAGAAACAAGAGAAGAGAUGAUUUAGGUGGAGGAAAGAUAGGCCUAAAAAAGGCAAAGAAACAACUUUAUAAAGGGGAAGAGAGAUCCCAAAUUAUUUCCAAGAGAGCACAGAACAAGCCCAAGAAUGGUAGAAACAAAGGUAAGUUUUGUGUUUGACUGAUUGAUUUCUGGUCUUUUUAUGGGUUUUUUACCCAAAUGAAGGCCAAAGAUUCAAUCUUUUUUACUGCCCAUCUUUCCAUUUCUACUCGCUGUAUGUGAUCUACAGUACAAACACCAGCAGUUUUAUAUUAACUAGUCUACUUGUUUCAAGUUUUCCCCACAAAAAAAAAAAAAGUAUUUCCGAUAAAAACCUCAUCUUUUGCUAAUUUUGGUAACCCAGAGGUUAGAUAUGGAAAAUAUUGAAAUGGGUGGAGAGAGAAAAAGUAUUUUUGGCAGAAAAAGUUAAAGGAAAAAAAAGCAGAAAAAAUAGAAAUAAAAUGAGGUGUUAAAACAUGCGUGCGUCCGUACAACUGUUGGAUACGGGAAAAUAAUAUAUUACUGUACUAUAUAUAACUGGACUGGUAGAAUAUGGAAUGAGCCAAUCAGAAAUCGAAAACGCAUUGGGCUAUAAUGAUUUGUUAGUAUCCAAACUUAUUGUCACCGUGGGGACACAGGCCCACUUGUGAGUUGUGACUUGUGGGUUUUUUUCCAGAUGAAGAUAACCCAAAAGUAAGUUACUGUUGUCUCCUCUUUUCAGCAACUAUCCACAUUUGUAACCCUAGUACACUGUACCUUUAUAUUUUCAUAUAUUUCAGUAUAUUAUUUUAUAUAAUAAUAAUAAUAAUAUAUUUAUCUUGCGGCACCUUUUAUUAUUUUUUCACAUUUACUUGAGUUAAUUUUAGUUAAAAAGAGGAUGAUCACCAGAAUAUAGUGUAAAAGUGAUUAAAAUAUACUCAUAAAUAAGGCUAUUUGUAUGAUUCAUGAGUAGUAGGUUUUUUUUAAAAAAAUUUAUUAUAUGUAGUAGGUUGGUGCUCCUGUUUUUCUAGAAGAUUAGUCUUUUCCACAUGUUUACUUUUGACCGAGACAUGGUUAAAUUUUCAUCAUACGAAGUUGUUGUGGUGACUUGGUGGGAAAUUAUGGGAAGAAAUAAAAUGGCCAAUGCCCGGAAGACACACAUGUUUCCCCACAGAUGUAUAUAACUCAUAACUGAAUUAGUCUAAUUUGGAAGAAUUUUUAAAUUAGUCGACUUUAUGGGCAUCAUCGUAUAUGAACACAAAUGACGACUGACGCAACACUUCCUUAUCCAGAGCCAUUUCAUUAGCAUCGGAUGGAAGAAAUAAUAUAAUUACCUUUAUAUAAUUUUAUAAUAUUCUUGAAUAUAAACAAAUUUUUCUUGCACAUAAUUAUUUACCAUUUAUAUUUAUAAUGUAAUUUUAAUUUUAAAAAUCAUCGACUUAACUGAUUAUUUGAUUGAUGAUAUGAUUUUUGUAAUUAAUUUUGUCAUCAAUAUUUGAAUCCUUUAAUUAAUGUGCAUGAUUUCUUAAUAGUCGACAAAUAUUCUGAGAGGGUAAGUAAUAUUAAAGUUUAAUAAAAUGAAUAUUAUUAUAUUUUUUUACUUUAUAUGAAUAACUAAUAUAAGUAAUUUUGGCUAAGCUUUAUUCAUUCAAUAAAUCAUUACAACCAUACCACCUACUAAUUCUGAUUAUGGAUUUCUAUAAAUGAAAUAUAAAAACAUGGUGCAGCAAAGCUUCGGCCAGCCUAACUAUAAUGGACGAGUUAUGUGUUCGCUAAAUUCACUACUAGUGGACCUUGAUUAUAAUUAUUAAUUAUAACUAUAAAGCUUACGAUAUAUAUGAUAUUAUGAAUAUAGUGGAAACAUGAGUCACUUGCCGCUCAGGGGCUCGCAACAGUUGUCGGUUGUGGAAUUAUCUAGAAAAGUAAGCCUGAUAUUUUAAUUUCAGAUAUUUAGAACAUAUCUACGAUUAGAAAAUAAUUUUAAUUACUGUACCCCCGAAUUUAAAAGAGUAUAUAUGAGUCCUUUGCCCCAAGCCGUCACCUAAAUUGUAUUGUAUGCAUUACCUAUUUCGUAUUGGCUGUCUAAACUUUUGAAUUAAGUGGUGGCACCUAAAGUGACAACCUAGGUAAUUAUGCGAUUCAAGAUCAGGGCUAGUCUAACCUAACUUAUGUAUUUGUGGUUUUAAUUAUACUAGCCUUUAACCCGUGCAAAGCACGGCGGGUAUAGAAUUCGUAAUUUAUUAAUUAUAAUUUAAAUUUUAACAUUAUCUUAUUAGUAUUUUAGAAUUGAUGAAUUGGAUUUUAAUCAGAUUAUAUUUACCCACUGAUUAUAUUUUUUGGACGACUACAAAUUAUAUCAAUGUCGGUUUAUUAUAAUAUAGUAUAUAAAUUAUAUUUAAAAGAAUAAUUGUGGAGUUUUUAUCUUGUACAACAUCUCAAGUGUUUGUAAUUUAAACAGUAUAAAACUCUUUUAAUAUUAAUAUUGUAAGAGUAAGAGAAGUUUAUAUGUGACAGACUUGUGGUUACAAAGAAGAUGACCAAACCAAAAUUUUGUACGACUACAAAUUAUACCUAUGUUGGCUUAUUAUAGUAUAGUAUAGAUAUAUAAACAGAAUUAUAAAUAUAUAUUUAUAAUAUUUUAAUUCUAACAAAUAAUAAGCAGAGUUUAAUCUUAUUUCCUUCGUCUCCACAGAUUUUACUUUUUGAAAUGUAUUUUAAGACUCUUAUAAAAUAUAAUUAAUAACUUUUUUUGAAAACAAUUCUGAAUAAAAAUUUGACGUUUAAUCGUUUAUUUAGAGAAUAAUAAAUUGAGAAAAACAUUAUGAAGAUAUAUUUUAUAAAAACCUCAAAAUAUACGCAAAAUAACGAAUGUACUAACUAAAAUAUUAGUAAUAUCUUAUAAUUUUAAAUUUAAUAUACAGAAUUCGAAUAAUUUUAACAUAUUUCAAUAUAAUAUAUAAACAGAAGGUAAUUUUAAUAUAUUUUACCUGUAACUCUAUUCGUUAUUUUACUUUACUAGAAAGAUAUAUAUAGAAGUAAAUCUAAGGCAAUACAUGAAACCCCAGAUUAUAAAGAAUAUAUGUUACCCCCUCCCUCCCCUUUUUAGAUGUGAAUUUUGAUUUUUGACCGGUCAAUUUGAAUAUACUUUGACUGAAAUUUACAUGUAUUAUAUAAUUGACAAAAAUAAUAAAAAUUAUAUCAUUAGAAAGUAAAUUUUGUCUAUUUUAAUAUGCAACUUUCGGAUUUUAAAAAUAAUGAAUAGAUAAUUGGUAAUGUUUAGUCAAAAAUUGGUCAAUUUGACUCCUCGAAAAGCAAAAUAUACGGGACGGAGGAAGCAUAAUAUAUUCAAUAAUUAAUCAUAAAAUACCUAUAUUACAUCAAAUCGGAAACAACAUAAAAGUUAAAACUCUGAAUUUUGCACUUGGCGCUGCUUAUUAUUUCAGUUCAUUUGUUGAAUUGCUGCAGUCCGUAAUCUAUACCGACUUUCGUUAUUUGUUACAGACUAUAAAUAAUGCAUUUCCAUAUAAUUUGCUCCGUUGAAAAUUUGGUACGGAAAUAAUAGGGUAUGAAUUGUUGGAGACAUUCGCGGGUGAUACAAAAUCGGUUCGGCUCACUGUUUCAGCGGCCAAGGAUGAUGUUUUGCUAUAAUUAGUUUACGACAACAAGCACAAAACGGUCAUAUAUUAUGAGCAGAAAAAAAUUAUAACCCACUUGAAUACUUGAUUCACUUAAAAAACCUGAAAUAAUAAUUUUUCGCAAAUAAAAUUGAUAACAAUAUAUUUUGAUAAAUGUGCGAAAAAAAUCAAGAAAGAGCAGACAGAAGAGCAGUUAACAUAAUAGAGCAUUAGAGCCUAUUUGUCGACCUUGGGUCAUUUUCGACUUAAACUGAAAAAUAUUUAUUUGCGUGAUAAUUCAUAGGUCAGCUUAGUGUUAAAAAUAAGUCAAGAACUGAUUUAAAAUUAUACGUUAGUUUGAAAUAAUUUUACGGUCAAUUAACUUUUUAUAUAAAAACUAUUCUUAAAAUAUAAGUUAUUCAUAAAUUACUUUAAUUUCUAUUAUUAUAUUUUUAAAAACUCACAAAUCACUAAAAAGUUAAAAUUAAAUAAAGAAAUAUUUUAAAUUCUCAACUUAUAUAUUAAGGGGGUGUUUGGGGAGGGCUUAGAAGCCCGGCUUCUGGGCUUAUAAGUUAGAAGCACUUAUUCGUACCGUUUGUGUAGAAAAUCAAGAAGCGCUUAUAAAAAGCUAGGAAUGCUAGCUGUUGUUUCAGGACUUCUGCUUAUUUACCAAACACUUUAAUCACUUAUAAGUUCCAAUUUGCUUCUAACUUCUACUCCACUUCUUUACUUUAAGCAAAAAGCACUUAUUUUAAGUUUACCCAAACGCCCACUAAGUCACCUUAAAUCAUAAAUGUUAAAUGAAACAUGAUCAUGACUCCAAUAUUUAAAUCAACGGGAAAUGCAAGUAUAAAUUAUUAGAAUUAAAUAUACUACUUUCUCAAAAAGAAUUAAAUAUACUACAACUAUGAACUAUCUCAACUCUGCAUUGUUUUCCUCAAUUAUAGAGAGAACAUAGGCUGCUGUUUAGUGUCCGAAAGGGUAAUUAGGCCUCAAUGUGAAUGUGUGAGAGGAUUAGGACCACUAAGCGUGCGAAUCUCUUUCUUUCAUGAAUUGUUAAGUUAAAGAUUACUGUCGUUUAAUUAUGCUCACAUUGUUCCCACUGCUUCGAAAUGCACCAUUAAAUUAUUAGUAAUAUUUUCAUGUGGACUUCAUAUAAAUCAUCCAAUCAUUUACAACAUUGGUUCACUGUUCCGCACAUUGUGCAUAUUAUUCAUUUAACUUGCCGGUUAGUAUUUCCCCACAUACAGAUUCCUAUAUUUAUGAGCUUGCUUAGGGCGCACUAACAAUAUUUCCUAAUUUAAUCAAUGAAGUACGUAUAUAUGGAUUUGCUGCUGAAGUCAAAACUUUAAAUUUUCUAAUUUUAUCAAUAAUGUAUAGAUAUAGAGAUUCAUUGUUAAAACCAAACUUGCAGUUUGAGCUCACUGGCCUCCUUAUUUUAUAACACAAGUUAAUAAUUUUUAUAUAAAUUUAAUUAUAUUUAAACAUUUUCAUUGAAAUAUAUUUCUUGAUCAAUUUCUAAUUAGCUUAUUAAAAGAUUUAAAUAUAAAGAACCUAUUCUAACAUGCUGAAUAGAACUUUUAUUUAACAUUCUCAAUUGAAUUAUAUUAACCGAAACAUGUAUAUUAAUUGUUUAAUUUUUUCAUUAAAAAUGCAUUUUUUUUAUAAUUUUAUAUUUACAAUAAAAUUAAAUAUGCAUAACUAAAUAAUAAAUAUUAUCAGACAUAUGCACAUAACAUAUGUUAUAAACUAGUUAUGCUUAAUGGUAAAUUUGCACUUCCUUCGUCUCAUUUGUAUGUGGAUGAAUUAAACCACACCACACGUAAAAAUGAGAGGUGAAAACAGAUGGAGUAUUGUUUUAUGCAAUAAAAACUUUGAUGAUUUAAAAAUUAUGUAUUUAAUUUGAUGAUUUAACAGAUUUAUGACUUAUUUUGAAUAUAAUAAGAUUUAUAAACAAUACUCCCUCUUUCCCUCUCAUUUCUUUACAUUAAUUUUUGGCAUGUUUUUUAAGAUUCAUUUAUAAUAUAUUUUUUUUAAAAAUAAAAAUUUGAUAUUUAAAUUCUUAUUCAUAAAAGAAAAUUUUAAAAAAAUUAUGAAGUUAUAUUUUAUAAAAACCUUAAAAAGCGUGUAAGUAAUUUAGACGCUGCCAGUCUUUUGAACAUAUGCAACAGUCUGGGUCAGGCGUCCAGCAUCAACGAAAACGAUAUUUUCACUCUGUUUAAUAUGGGCCCCAUAAGUCGACCUAGGAAAAUGAUACUCUAGUCUUUUAUCAACCUUUUAUCUGUCCACCAGUAAUAAAAUUCUUAUUCCGCGUCUGGUUCGUGUAUCCGGAUCAUUAUAAAUUUAAUUAUGAUUCAAAACUUUCUUCAAAAAAUAAAUAAAAAUUGAUAAAUAAUUGAUUCAAAACUUUAGUGAAUAAAAUUAUUUAAAAAAAAUUUCAAACUAAAACACAAGAUAACAAUUAAAAUAUAUUGUUACAUAAUGAUUUGAGAGUAGCUACAGGAUCACGAAACAAAUCAAUUCUUCGAGUCAAUUUCAAAUUAGUUUAAAUUGAUGUAAACUUCGCAUUUCGGAUAAUAUUAUAUGUCAUAUAUGUGUUGGUUAAACGAAGAUAAGAAAAUAUCUAAAUAGGGUAAGAAGAUGAAUUAUUAAAGUGCAAGAGUUCAAUCAGUGGCCAGUUUUAGAACUAGAGACAUAAACGUUUUUCACAACUUCUACAACUACAAGCAACUGUCACAAGGAGUGCUCAUGUAAUUUGCGUUGUUCUGGAACUGUGAAUCUGUGACAGCUGUAUCGUAACAUGCACGACGUCUUAAAGAAUAGGCAGCCGUGUCAUAAUUAAAAUUUUUAGAUGAUUGAUAUAUAAUAUAAUAUAACAAUAUCAUAUUAAACGAAUACUCUCUUUAUUUUUUAAUAUUUGACGUUUUGAUUUUGGGCACGUACUUUUAAAUGCUUUGACCGGGUAGUUAAAAAUAUUAUUUUUCAAAUUUUCUUUUUAUGAAUAAAAAUAUAUAAUCAAAAUUUUAAUUUACAAGAAAAAUCAAUCAAAAAUAAUACUCCCUCCGUCCCUUUUUAUCUGUCCAUUUUGGAAAAAAAAACACAUACCAAGGAAUAAUUGAUUGUAUGAACUUUUUUAUUAAAUGCCUCUAAUUAAUAUCUUGAAAAUGGUGGAAUACCCCUACUUUAUGUUUUGAAAACAUGAAUUCAACCAAGUUUUAAAUAAGUCAAGCCUUGAAAAUUGAAAUUAUGGAGAUAUAUUUGAAAAAAUAAGUCAAGCCUUGAAAAUUGAAAUUAUGGAGAUAUAUUUGAAAAACCAUCAUUAAAUUAGUUUUGAAAGUAUAAAUGGACAGAUAAAUAGAGACAAAUUUUUACUUCCAAAAUGGACAGAUAAAUAGGGACGGAGUGAGUAAUUUUUACUAUCCGGUCAACUCACCUAAAGAUAUGUGACAAAAAUCAAACUAUCAAAUAUUAAAAAACAGAGUGUGUACAUCAUGUAUAGAAUUAUGUGCAACCAAUAUAUAUAAAUUAAGCUUACGCCACGUGAAGAACACGUUUUAGCGAGUAAAUAAUAAAAAAUCACUAUUUUGCUGCAACAUAAUAACAUUAAAAAGAUAAAAUAACUAUGUUAUUCUGCACUUUUUGAAAAGUGCUGAACAACUGUUCACAUUAUUCUCACAAACAAAUUGUUCUCACUUAAAUCACUACCUAUAAUUAAUAUAUAUAAUUUAUGAUAUAUCAAAAAAUAUGCUUUUCUCUUUUUUAGAUUUUUAAAAAAUAUAUUCAGAUUUUUAUUUAAAAAAAUUACAGUCCCCAAAUUUUGUGAUUUCUGAAAUUUUGGUCUGCGUUGCUCCACUUGCAUACUUAACCGCGGGACUAUAAUCGAUUACUUUAAAAAUCAUCGACAUCAUUUGAGUUUCCGUAGGAUUAUAUCAUACCUCGACAGUCGACAUCGCUUUGAAAAUUGAAACUUCAUUUUUGAGUCUUAAAGGCUGGAUCGAUAACUUAUCGCUACUGCAACUGCACUAACAGAGAGCCUUGCUAUAAAGGCCUCGCAAAACCUGGGUCAUACUCGAAUUACCUUGACACAUACCCUAAAGGUCCAAACUCCACAAGCCCAGCUCUUUGAGAUCGAACAUGUUAGCCGGACUUGCACCGCAAAGAAUCGUUUUCGUAAAAUAUAAUAUAGAGUAAUGCUAGGUCCACAGAAACUGAUACAGAAAUAUGCACAGAAUGAUGUGGAUUCCACUAUCAUCUGUGCUCUGUCAUUUUUUGUUUACAGAUGUGGAUUCCACUCUCAUCAGUGCUAUGCCAUUUUCUUGUAGCUUUGUUCUCUGAUAAUUUUUUUUACUCUUAAAUUUUCAGUCUUAAAGUCUACAACUAUCUUUUUAUACAUAUAAGUUAUAUAUUUAAUCAGUUUCUCAACAACUUUUUUAUAUAAAAAAUAUAUUUAUAUCAUAUUUUUAAUAUUUUUCUUUCUACUUUUAUUAACCAAUAUAUUAAUUAUAUAUAAUAUUAUGGUUGUAAUUUGACAUGUUUAUUGCUUUUAGUAGAUAAUUUAUUUAAUGUACUUUUACCAACUUAGUUAUUUUAUAUUUUAAAAAAUUUAAGUAUAUAUUUUGUUAUUUAUAAUUUAACUUUAACAACAUAUUUGUCGUACAUGAAAUAUUUUUAUACAAUCAUUAUCUUUUUCAAUAGUAUUUAUUAUUUUUAAAUUAAGAUAUUAAAUAUUUUUAAUUUUUAACUUUUUUUACCAAAACAAGUUUUACCCUAAAUAUUGAUAAGUUAACAAUCUCAUAGCAAAUAAUAUUAGUAUUUUUAUAUUUUAAUAGUAUAAAUAUAUUUUAUUUACUAUAAUUUUGUUAUUCGGAUUCUAAGACAUAUGUUUAAAAAAAAUUCUUAAUAUAAAAUAAACAAAUUUCAUAAUAUAUAAAAUUUCAAAAUUUUAUUUUGUUAUGCAUAUAUUAAUCUUAACGAAAAAUAUAUGUUGAAUAAAAUAUGUCUAUACUGUUAUGUAUGUGUAUAAAAAUUUUAAAAUAUAAAAAAAACUAAGUCGGGUACAAAAGUAUAAUAAUAAAUUAUCUAAUAAAAGGAAGAAAAUGUCAAAUUACAAAGAUAAUAUUAUAUAUAUAAUUAAUAUAUUGGAUAAUAAAAGUAAAAAAGAAAUAUAUUAAAAAUAUGAUACAAAUAUAUUUCUUUAUAUAAAAAGGUUGUUGGGGAGAUGAUUAAAUAUAUAACUUAUGUGUAUAAAAAAUAUAGUUGUGGACUUUAAGACUAAAAAUUAAAGAUGAAAAAACAAGCCGAGUACAAAGUUAAAAACAACUAGAGUAUAAAGUUUUAAAAAAAAGGAUCAGAGUACAAAGCAAGGCGAGUAUAAAGCUAAACAAGAAAAUAGGAUAGAUAGUGGAAUCCACGUCUGUAAACAAAAAAUGACAGAGAACAAAUAAUAGUGAAAUCCACGUCAUUCUGUGCAUAUUUCUGGAUCAGUUUCUCUGGAUCUAGCAUUACUCUAUAAUAUAAGUUCGUGGGGUACCUAAGCUGACAGCUAAUUUGCUUGAUUUUUAAAAGGUUUGUCUAGUGUGUGCCCAAUCGGCACAUGCUAAGCACCGAAACUCAUAAAUUUGGUGUGUUUUUAUUAGUGUGGUUAGUGUGAAUGCAGUAGGUCAUCGUUAUUAAAGAAAUGUAAGUCAAUCAAAACAUACAAAAACUUCCGUAAAAAAAAAACAUACAAAAACUAUCUCAUUUUAUGCUUAUUGUGUGCACAUGGGCACGCAUUAAAAAAACCGUUUUUAAAAAUUUAUCGACGCAAAUCAAGGUUUGCAUUGAGCUUUGACUCACUUAUUUUAACACAACCAUCAUUAUUUAGCAAAGAAGAAGAAGCAACUACUCCCUCCGUCCCAUUUUAAUUGACACUUAUUCCUUUUUGAGACGUCCCAAAAAUAAUGAACCUAUUACACUUACGAUUUUUGAACACUAUUUUUCACUAUUACACCCACUACUUCUUCCACUAUCUCUAUUCUAUAAUAAUAAAAACACUAUUACACCCACUAUUUUCCUCCACUAUCUCAAAUCUAUUAUUAAAAUUUUGAUGGGUCCCAUCACUUUACCAACUUUUCAACCAUUUUAAUUUCUUUUACUACCUUUUUCUUAAUCUCCGUGAAAGUCAAAGCAUGUCAAUCUUUUUGGGACGGAGGGAGUAUCUUAUUAGACGUGAGCAAGUGACGUAGUGCAUGAGAUCAUACGCGUCAUUGGCAUAAAACAAAUUUCUGAUGAAACAAAAAAGGAUUAUAGUUUAGGUUAAUAAAUUGGUAACAUGUAAUCCCUCCGUUCAUUUCAUUUUUAUACACUUUCCUUUUGUGGAUGUCCCAUUUAAUUCUAUACAUUUCAAAAUUUUCUUAAAAUAGUAAUUUUUUAUAAUAUAAAAGUCUCAACCACCCACUAUUUUCAUCUACUUUUUCAAAUCUAUCAAUUAAAUAUUGAUGAGUCCCGUCACUAUACCCACUUUUCUUUCUUUUUCCCACUACUUUAUCUUACUUUACACACUUUUCUUAAUCUCCGUGUCCAAUCCAAACGCAUACACUGUUUAGGUGCACUGUUUGCACACAUUUUGAGAUUCUCGUAAAGUAUAAUUGUAUAAUGUAUUUUUAAUUUUUUCUUUUUUUGAAUAAAAGUUUAAACGUCAAAUUUUUUUCAGCAUUUUUUUUAAAAUUAAAUAUAUAAUAUAAGUAUGCUUUAUAGAGCCUUAAAAUGCGUGCCAAAAAGUAACGUAAAGAACCUGAUGGGAUGGAGGGAGUAUAUAAAAUUAAUACGUGCUCUCUGUUAUUUUUUGACAUGUUUUUUAAGACUUAUUAAAAGUAUAGUUUCAUAUUAUUAUUUUAUUUUUUUUCUCCUUAAUAAAAAUUUGAUAUUUAAAUUUUUAUUUAAGAGAAGAAUUUUUUUAAAAAUGAUUAUGAAACUAUAUUUUAUAAGAGUUUCAAAUUAUGUGUAAACAGAACCUAGACGGAGUGAGUAUUAAAUAAAUUUUCUAAGGAUGGUUUGUAAUUCUAAUAAUAAUACCGUACGUUUAAGAUAAUAUGGACAGCUAAUAUUAUGUUUUUAUAUAUUUUGCGAGGGACAAAUUUAGGUUAGGUUCAGCCGUUGAGGUAAUAUUUAAGAUGUAUGCAAUUGCUGCCUCUUGAAUAUAACUCGGUGAGCAUUUUGCAAUAUUUCAUAAAUGAAGAUAAUAAUAUUAUCCAAUUUUAAAAUAUUCUCGGCAUAUAUAUUUCCUUCGACUCAAAAUAAUAAUUUUAUUUUUAUUUAAUUAAGUCUUAUCAAAUUUUGAUCGAUUGUUACAGUACAUAUCAUAUAUAAAAGAAGGUUAAAAAAGUUAUAAAAUAUAUCUGAUCUACUUUGAAAUGAUUCUACAGUUUUUUAUUCAAAAUUAUAAAGGAACAAUUCUUUAUAUUUACAGUGGUGAAUUUAAUUAUUAAAAAGUCAAACUUAUUACCUACUUAUAUAUAAUAAGCGUAAGAGAGAUAAUUUGGUCGCAUGGUCCUUUGGUCUAAAAGCUUAUCAUCCGUUGGAUCGUAUAUUGAACAAAUAAGCACCGUUAGAUUAGAACAAAAUUAAUUUCUGUUUUAUAAGGCAACUGAUAUCUACUUGCAUUUUAAUUCCUUUUCUGAAUCCAAAACAAAUUCUGUCUUUCAAGUGUUUUUGAUUUUUUUUAUUAAAUCGCAUUAUAAUAAUUCUAAAAUACAUUUAUAUUAGAACACAUAUUUUUAACCCCUUUUCUUAAUCCAAGACAAAUUAUGUCUUCUACUUGCAUGCAUGUUUAUGAUUUAUUUUUUUAGUCAAAAACAAAUUACAACCAAAAUCUUCGAAACAUAAAAUUUGUCAAGAUCUUCUAUAUAAACUACCUCAUCUUAACCCCAUUCUUGCGUCUUCUUCUUCAAAGAUUUUAACUUGGAAAUCUCCCGAUGUUUCUUUUGGCCUCAAUCUUAACAAAGUUUGCAACGGUUCUUUUUUCCCCAAACUUCUCCACCAAACUCACAAAGGUAAUUAGCUUCUCUUUUUUUUUUUUACUGCUAUUUGAUAAAUUGCUAUGUAUUUGUUUUAUUAAUUUUUUUUGUUUGUCUAAAUUAUAUUGAUUUAUUCAAUUUUUCGUACAUAACGACAUGGAUUUGCAUGACGAAUCAAAUAAUAUGAAUGAAAAACGGAGAAUUGAACGUAACAAGGGUCGUAGAGAACGGUACAGACUACGUCAAGAACAAAACAAGCAACAACAGGAACCAUGUAAGUAAAGUUUAGCGUGUGAUAUGUGCAUUAAAUAUGUGUGACAUCAAAAUUAUUGAUCUCUGACAUGAGAACAAUACAGGUAGAGCAGUAGAACAAUCAAUACACCAAUUCUUAAUGAAAUUAGGUACUUACUCAUCAGUCAGUAAAUUACUCCAGAUGAUAGUGUAUUGUGUAAAUUUCAUUUGAAAACCUAUGGUCAGUGUAUUCUUAAUGCAAAUGUGUUUUUGAGUUUUUAGUUGGCAAAUUAACUUUCCAGUAGGAAUAUUACCGAUCAAAUAUAAGUGAACUUAAAAAAAAAAAAUUAUGAAAAAUUUAUAUUUUGGAUUCAAUUCAACUAAAAUUUAAGAUAAAUUCUAAACUAUACGAACAUCAUAUAAAAAUUAUAUAAUUUACAACAGUUCUGACUAUGUUUAUUGGGUUGUUUAUAUAUGGAUUUAUAGGCCUCCUUUAAUUAUAAUAUGUAAAAAAAAUAUAUAUUUUAACAUUCUCAUUAAAACAUAUAUAUUUGACCUAAUUUAAAAUUAACUAUUUGAAGAAUUUAUUCAGCUGCUAAAUAAUUUUUUUUAUUUAAUCACGUUAUUCUAUCAUAAUUUUACUUUCAAUAAAAAUUGGUUAAAUCUAAAAUAUAAAUCUUUAUUUGACUGAAAAAUUUUAAUUUAUUCUUUGUAAAUUAAAUUAUUUCACACCAUCUAAAAUAUAUUCAAAAAUUCAUAACUAAUUAAAAAGCACCGUGCUUUGCACGGGCUAUAAGCUAGUUAUUUUAAACCGAGUAACGGAAAAUAUUUUAACGGUUAGGUUGACCAUAAACUCUUGUAUAAAUAGUUUGCUCCUGUGAUAUCUGUUCUCGUCCCGUGAGAAAUGCUUAUACAUGUGACGAAUGUGAUUUUGAUGUGUGCGUGGCUUGUACUUCUGAUGAGAGGACGCUUCAUCACGAAGGCCACGAGCAUGAGCUUAUAUUGAUGAAUAGAAAGGCCAAGGUGGAGUGUGAUGCUUGUGGCCGCGAAGCGAGAGACUCGACGUAUGUGUGCACAAAGUGUGAAUUCUGGAUUCACAAGAAGUGUGCUUUCGCGGAUUCGAUUGUGCCGUCUCCGCAUCACCAUCACCCGCUCCACCUCGUCUACUCGAUUCCUAAUUUCAGGCUCCGCGGUGAUAAACGAUAUUGUAAGGUCUGCAACAAGGAAGUUUUACAAUAGCCACUCUACGUAUUAUUGGAGUCCCGAUCCUCUGUCUCUUUUGUGUGUCUCCUUAUACAUCUCCUCUUUUCUAUCGGUCAGUUUUAUAUAUCUCUUCUUUUUUAUUGGUCAAUUCUUUACCUUGAGCACGUGAUCUAUAGUUUCUUUCUUGAUAGUUUUUUACUGUUAAACUUUUUCAAAUCUAUAUAAGGUUCUUAGUAUUAUUAAAAUAUUUUUUUAUAUAAUACAUAAUCAACUAAAUUCUUUUAUAUGACAUAAAUAUAAUAUUAUAAAGUAAUGUCUACUAUUAUAUUUUCUAUAUUAAAUAAUUAAUUAAAUUUUCGAAAACAUAUUUUUAAUAUGAUUAAAUUAGAAAGCAAAAAAACACUUUAUUUAUGACUAAAAUUAUAUCAAAAUAUUGAAAUGUUUUCUUAUAUAAUAUUUAAUCUAUUAAAAUUAAAUUCUAUAUAAUGAAUUUUUUGAUAUAUGAAGGAAAUUCACCUAUACAUUUUUUUAGAGAAACAACUAAUACAAUUUUUUUUGAUAAAACUAUUUUCAAAUUUAAUUUUUUUUGAUAAAAAGUGUACAUCAUAGAGCUAAUAUUUUAUGCAACAAAUCAACAUGACUGAGAAUAUAAAAAUUGUUGUGUAAAAAGUAAUGUAGAAGAGAGACAAGAGGAUCACGUGGGAUGUAAAUAAACUGACCAAUAAAAAAGAAGAGACAGAGAAGGAGACACAAUAAGGAGACAAGGGAUCCCGACUCGUAUUAUUGUCACCAGUGCACGUAUUUUGUACACAUGAAUUGCGCUACGUCCGCAGAAUCUGCUGCGUAAGUAUUGAGAUGAACUGUUUUGUGUAUUGAUAGGAUCUUAGGAUGUGAUUAUCAUGUUUUAACUAAUUUCAACUGUUUUUCAGAGAUGAGAGCGAGUCCGAGGUGGAUCCCGAAUAUUUGAUUGAGAGGCUUCAAGAGCGCGUUGAUCAGAUAUCUGAGGUGUCAGAAUCGGCACAAUCCACUUUCGACAUCCUUGCUGAUCUCAUAUUAUCUUGACAAUUUGGAGUUUGGUGUGUAAUACGAUAUUAUCAGUUUGGUAGUCCGAAACCAUCGGCUUCUCAUUUACGCGUCUUUUAUUCAGUAUAUGUGAAAUAAAUCGGUUUUGAAUGUAUUUGUGAAAUAAUCCGGCUUCUCGUUUGCGUGUCUUUGUCUUUUAAAUUACCUAAUAAGUAUUAAUCCAAUUUGUGUGUAUUUUAUUCGGUAUGCGUGAAAAUAAAUGUGUUUGGAGAUGUUGUAUAUGGUGUAUCAACUUGUGUGUUUGACUUUUCACAUUUUAAUAAAAUGCAUUUAUUUUGUAUCCAAAAAUGAAGCAAGACACCAAAAUUAGUUGUAAGGCUAUCUAUUUUAUAUUGAAUUUACACAACCUAAACAACAAAGACAUGCAUGACUUAAAGUGCAAUGACCUGUUGCAAAGAUUGACAUUACGACCAUCAUACUGAUCAUUAUACAAGGUAAUUAGAUGCAAACUCGAUUUAUUUUUGUCAUCUGAAUAAGUAUUAAAGCCUUUGCAUAGAAAUAAAAUGAGUGGUUAGUCAUAAAUGAAUCGAAUUAUAAAUCAAAUCAUCGGAAGUCCUGUGAAAGCUAAACUUCUGCAGACUUUGUCAUUGGCCCAUAGAAAGAUUGACGAGACUCUCCUUGAAAUUAUUCCUAUUGUUACCCUUUCUUUAGUUUUUCUAGUUCUGCUUCAGCGUCUUUCAACUGUUGUGCUAGUGUUGAUACUCUCCCUUCCAGCUCUUCGACAGUGCCUCUAGUAACGGCAGGUUUGUAUGCUGAUAAAAAAUUGCGAGAGAAAUUUUUCAGAGCAUCAACACCACAGACCUGCGUGUACACUCUUCUAUUAAUCAGAGAGACUAGCAGGGAGGAUCUUGAAAAAUCAAAAUAAGAACAGAGAAAUUCUUCUAAAUAAUCAAGAUGCCUCAGUGCAUAAGAGUGAAUGGCUUAUGGCUACAUAUGCGAGAACGAUCCAUUGUGGAGUGCUUCAUAUCCGUGUUGAGAGUAUUGGUAAAAAAAUUGGAAAUCGACCUUGCAUGAAUAUCCUUUGCAGUUACAUGCGAAAUUCUUUACUAUGUGCUGUAAUUCUCCUAAGCCCUGCCUAAGUGUAUCUAUUUCGACUUUCGAGUUAAGAAUUAACCCAAAUAUAUGGAGAUCAUGCAAAAAUAAUAGUGCUGGAGCAGGACUCUGUAUAGUUUACCUCUUCUGGCAGCAAUGGCAACUUAGUAAUAUGGAAGUCAUCAUAUAACAUGUAGAAUUGAUCGAGGUACUUCUGUUGCAUCUUCAUUCUAGCAUUUAGCAGCUUCGACUCAACAACUAGAAUUAUAGGAGUCCCAAAAAUGGUUAGCUAAUGUUCCAAACAAUCAUUAGUUGAUUAAGAAUAAGUCUUUACAUUCUACUGAAACAUACCUUCGUCAUCAAAAAGUACUUGAUUGAUGAUAAUAUUAUGUGUAUCUAUCUCAAAUUUACUGAGUUCUUGCACCAGUCUUUCUGUUUCAUAUAGAGAGAGAAACUCCGGAAUGCAUAUACAGACAAAAGUUGUCAAAUCCUGUCAACCAAGAUAAGCUGGCUUUAGUUUGACAGACUUGAACAAUUACCCAUAAAACUGAUAUACAAAGAUGAUGGAAAAGGAAAAUUAUUAACUGAAAAAUAAUUAUUGAUGCAUGCGAUUAUAAUUUUCUUUGUUAAGUCUCUUUUAAAAAGAAUUCUCCCUCGUACUCAAAUAUAUAGACUCUUAGAGAGGUGAAGAAAAAAUUUCAUGUGCUUAAGUGGGAUUCCUGGAGGGCUUACAGUACAAUAGAAUAUUAGUAGGGGUUUUGUGAUGAUUGCCAAUAGGAGGUGCAGAUCAAGUUCUCGCGUUUGCUCUGAUUUCGUUGAGCCACUUAAUCAAAAAAAAUAAUUCUCAAUUUAUGCUUCUUACAGUAUUUUGCUUGUCCAUUGACACAAUAUCAGUUAUUGUUUUCUUCCAGUUUAUUUAUAAAGACAGUAUCUAAAAUUCUGAAUAGAUCAUUUAUCAUGCCAGAAGCAAGGUCAGUAAUGUCUAUAAAUAAAUUAUUUCUAAUUUACGCUUUACUAGUUGAUAACCCGUGCUAAGCACGGGUUUAAAUAAAAAUUUAAAAUUUGUUAUUUAUUGGAAGAAUAAUGUCUUUUUUUAAUUGCAUUAUCAUAUUUUUAUUAUAGUUAUUUAAAUUAUUAUUUUUAAAUGAUAUUUAAAUUAAUAUUAUUUAAUAUAAGACUUUCUAUAUAUUAAAAUUUGAUCCUAAUUUAAAUUUAUUUCAUAACAAUAUAGGUCCUUAUCUGUGUAGUCCACAAAAUAAAAAUAUUGGAGUCCAAAAUUAUUAAAAUAAUCUACUCGUUUCAAUUUUAAUUUUUUUAGUCUACAAUAUUUGUAAACAUCUAACAAUUUACAGGUUAUGUUCUACAAUAUAAUCGUUGCAAUCAAAAGAUAAAACAAUAUUUUUAAAAAUCACUAAACACUAUAUAUGUUCUAAAAUAUAACUCAUAAGUAGAAUAAUGAUCUUAAUUAUUGUUAAUGUUGAAAGAUGUUAAUGAUUAAUUGAUAAUAAUAUAUUUAAAACCAUCAAAAAAUGGUAAAUUAUAUAUAAAAUUUGAAUAAUUAUAGAUAUUAUCUAUGAUUGAACUAAAAGAUUAAUAAUUCUAGUUGGAGUUUUGGUAGAUCUGACAGUUGUUGUAGUUGUUUGAUAAACUAAUAUUGUAGUUUGACAAAAUUAGUUAACUUUCCAAAAGUAAUUCGAUAUCAAAUAUUUUGACAUAUGUCUAGAGUUUCGGUUCUUUUAUUUAUUAUAUGUUGCAAUAUGGACAAUGACUUCAUUUUCUUUGAGUUUUUAUUUGUCAAGUCAGUGUUACCACCACCUUCUACGUCUUUAUUGCAAUCUUUUAAAAACACUAAAUUAUUAUAAUUAUUAUUAUUAAAAGAUAUAUAACCAAAUUUUUUGGUACUUUGGUCUUAAUAUUGAAUCUUGUUUAUUUUAAUUAUGAAAUAUGAUAGAAAUUUUAUAGAUUUGUUUCGUAAAUUAAAUUGUAUAAGUUUUAAAAAUUAAAAGGAAUAUUUGACGUAUGUCAAGAGUUUCGGUUCUUUUAUUAUAUGUUGCAAUAUGGACAAUGACUUCAUGAACUAGUUAAACUUUUAUGAAACAAAACUGUAGAGACACGUCUAAAUGGACUUAGAACAGAACUUAACUGGUGCAUAACAAACCAUAUUGAGAUACUCCAGCAAGCAGAAACCAUAAUUAAGAAGAUAAAAAAUAGGAAGAUACAUUGUGUUGUAAAGUCAAAAGGGUCCAAACCGAAAAAUCGACAGAGAUGGUUCUGAGGGUAGGAGGGGGGAGACUGGAAUUAAUUAGUUAUAUAUAUAUGAAUAAAGGCAAUAAAACUAAGACAAAAGUACAAUACAAGAGCAAGGCAUAAUUACCCAUUUCAAGGCCUUUACAGUCUACACGAAUCAGCUCUUCCACAAGAAAAGCAUCACAGACCGUAGCUACAAGACUGUAAUAGUAGCCAUUCCUUGCUACAUCUCAACAAAAAGUAUAUGAGUCUCUGCUAGAAUUAAUAACAAUAUGAACAACACAGAGUCUAUGUACCAAGUCUUGUCAAGGUGGGAACAGCUAAUCCUCGUCUUCUUAUUUCUUUCGUCUCCUCGAUGCUCAAUUGUUUAAUAGUUGUUUUUAUGAGCCUUGGAUAUACAGGUUUUGAGGCUUCCAUGGCAUUAAUGGAAUUACUAGCCUCUUUCUGGGGUGAUAAUUCCUUCCUCUGUAUUAUCAGUAGACCACCGUGUUUAUGGAUAAUCUUACUAAAAGUUUUAUCUUGGAAGAUGGACAUUACUAUCAAUAAAUAUUAAUUAGAUGACAUCAUACCAAGAAUUUAGCAGUUUGCGUGAAAAAGUGGCUAACUAUGUUGUGGUUCAACAACUUGAGCAAGUGAAGGAGAUCUUCGACGUCUUUUGACACAUUUGGUCAUCGAAAUAUGAUCACUUUCCACAUUGCACAAGCUCCUGAUUCCAGUGCCUCCUGCUUCAGGUUUUAUUAAGUUCAUCACCAUUGGUCAGAUAUUGAACUACAUCAUCAAACAUAGUAGAAAGAUUAAUGAGUUGGCAGUAGCAAAUUAUCAGGAAGAUCAAGAAAUAAACACAAGUACACAACCUGGUUAUAAAAAACACUAGCUAAAUAAGAUGAACAUGUGUAAAUUAAAAGAUGGAUAACAAUCUCACAAUAGCAAUUAGACUGAACAAAACUAGCAUAGCAUUCGAAACAAAGAUGGAUCCUUGCACCUAACACUGAACAAAUCCCAGAUCUGAAUAUUGCAUUCUUCUCAAUUAGGAACAAUACAUGUAAACCAAAAGCAAAACUAAAAUUCAGGUAACAAUACCUAAUUGAAACCCCAAUUAGGAACAAGGAGAGCUUUGCAAGCAGAAUACCAAAAGCAAAAUGGCCAACCAGAGAGAGCUUUGUUGCCGUUUGAGAAAGAGAGUUUUUGACAAAUAAAACCCUAACUCGCGCUUUGUGCUGCAUUUUUUCACAAUGCCGCUCUUUUUUUCCCUCAAGCCGCUCUUUUUUUGAUUUGGCGGUGCCUGAAAUUUUUAAUAUAUAAAUAAUUUAUAAUCAAAAAAUAAUUACAUAAGACUAUCUCGAAAGGAGAUAUCUAUAAUUAUUAAUAAUUACUAUUAUCAAGUUUUAAUGGCUAUAUUCUCAAAUAAUAAUUUAUCAUAAAAAACUUAUAAACAAUAUUUUCCAGAUUUACAAGGACUUAUAAACUUAUAAUUUAUCAUAAAAAAUCUAUAUUGUAGCGCAAACAAUAAAAAAAUUUACUAAUUUAAUAAAAAAAUUUUAAAGAAAUUUAUUUAAAUAUAAAUAUAAAAUUAAAAGUAAUAUAUACAUAUUAUAUAAUUAUUAAAUUGUAGAAUGCAAGCAAAGAAGACGAGAGGGAUAGAAGACGUGGCAUAAAAAACGAUUUCUUAUUCAACAAAUAUAACAUCUCAGAAUUCGAUAGGUAAAAUUAUACCUAACAAGAGAGUAUCAUUGGUGUUGGAUAAUAGGAGAAGAAUAUCUAUAGUUUUUAUUUUUUGUUGCGAGCUAGGGAGAUUUACCUAACAGAUGCAAAUGGUUGGAGUUGUUUUAAACGAAUUUAAAAUAUAUCAGUAUUUAGAUAUAUAAAAUUUAAAAUAAAUAUGUACCUAAUUAUAAGAAUCAUUAUUGAAAUCAGAGUGAACAUCACUUCUUGAUGAUCAUAUUUCUACCGAAUCUUGAAUCAAACUCUAUUUCUUCUUCUCGCAACCAUUCACAGUCAUCUAAAUUUAUUAUUUCUUCGUCAUCAUUUAGACGUGUAUGAAUAUCUUCUGUAGUAAUCAUGUUUAAGUGUAUAGGUAUCUCAUCUUGACACGAUUCAACAAGUGGGCGAGUUUUAAUUAUGAUGAUAGAAGUUUAGAAACUGAAGAGAGAAAGAAAAAAUUGAAUGCUCUAACAAUGUCUAUUAUGUGAUAAAGUCAAUUGUAAUGUUGCUGCUUUGUGUGAUGUUGGUGCAAUUUGAAUCGCUCGGAAGAUCGUUGAUUUCGUUUUCAGCUUUAAGAAUUUUUGAAUUCUAUGUCAAACGAUCAGAAUACAAAUUAUCAAAUUGUUUUUAGUAUGUUAUUUAUUUUCCAACAUGUAUGGUCAGUUGGGGUUUGUCCAACUGUAUUAUGUUCUGGUUAAUGAAAAUUAUUUUUAUUUUGUGCCAAAAAAAAACUUCUAAUAUGUUUAUAAUACUGACGGAUUGCCAACGGAAUCAGAUGACUCAUCUACUUUACCAACAGAUUUCCAACGGUUGCUCUAUUUUAGCAACGGCUUCCCAACGGAACAAAUAUUGACUCUGGACAAAUUAGCAACUGAAUUACCAACGGAACGAAGCAUCAAGUUACCGACAGAAAUUCCGUUGUUAAUCCAUAACAAGUCUGUUAGUAUUCAGAUGCUAGAUUUUUCCGUUGGUAAACCGUAACAAGUUAACAACAGAAAUUACCAACGGAAAUGAUGACUACAAAGCAUCAAGUUACCAACGGAAAUUCCGUCGCUAAUCCAUAACAAGUUUGUUAAUAUUCGGAUGCUAAAUUUUCCGUUGGUAAUCCGUAACAAGUUAACAACGGACAUUACCAACGGAAAUGGUGACUACAAAGCACCAAGUUACCAACGAAAAUUCCGUUGCUAAUCUGUAACAAGUCUGUUGGUAUUCGGAUGCUAAAUUAUCCGUUGGUAAUCCGUUGAGAAUUCUGUCACAACGCCUCCAUUUCCCAACGGAAUAUUUCGUUGGUAAAUAUUGGUUGGUGAACCGUUGGUAAUCUGUUGCUGACUGUUUGACCUCAUCCUGUACAAAAAGUGGUCAGCAUUCCGUUGGGAAAUUGUAACGGAAUUAGUUCCGUUGGGAAAUUUUGUUGGUAAUUCCGGGAAUUCUUGUAGUGUCAUUUUCUUUGAAUUUCUAUUUAUCAAGUCAGUGUUACCACCGCCUUAUUUGUCUUUACCGCAAUCUUCUGAAAAACACUGAAUGUUAAUAAUUAUUAUUAUUUAAAAAUAUAUGACCAAUUUUUUUGGUACUUUGGUAUCAAUAUUGAAUCUUAUUUAUUUUAAUUCUGAAAUAUGAUAGAAAUUUUAUAAAUUUAUUUCGUAAAUUAAAUUGUAUGAGUUUUAAAGAUUAAAACGAAUAAUUUCGUUAACAUUAUUAUUCUAUUGAUAGGAUAUUAUAUUAAUAUCAACAUGAACUCCUUAUUUAUUUGAACUUGAAACAUGAUAAAAGAUUUAUAGAGUUGUUCUAUAUAUUAAAUUAUUUGAGUUUUAAAAAAUUAAAACAAAUAAUUUUGUUGGUAAUAUAUUUUUAUUAGUGAGAUAAUUGUUAUAAUACAAAAUCCUGUCAAAUAUUUAAGUUUUUUUAUAAUAGUAAUAAUUGUUAAAUAAAAAAUAAUAUGAUGAUAGCCAAAUUUUAAUAUGAAUUUUAUAGAACUGUUUCAUAAGUUAAAUUGUUAGCGAUUUAAUUGUGCGGAUUGGAUAAAUGUUAUAUUAUAAAAUCGUAAACACCAUAGAAGUCUUUUUAUAGUAGUAUAAUAAUUUUAACCAAUAUUGAAAUUUUUAAUAAUAAAAUCCGAAUCAAUAUAGAAGUCUUUUUAUAAUUAUAUAAUAAUAAUUAUAAAAUCCCAAAAAUGUAUAAUAAUAAGUAUAAAAUUCUAACAAUAUGAAAAUCUUUUCAUAAUUCUAUAAUGAUUAUUGUUAUUAAAUAAAAAAUUUAUAUAACAUUGUCCUAAUCAAUAUUGAAGUUUUUAACAAUAAAAUUUUAAUCAAUACAGAAGUCUUUCCCUGUUCUAAUGAAUAUUGAGUUCCUUAAUAAUAAAAUUUUAUUUAAUAUAGAAGUCUUUUGAUAAAAGUAUAAUAAUGACUAUAAAAUCCUAAUCAAUAUGAAAGUGACCAAAUUUUGGUAUUUUUGGUACCGAUGUUCCACUGAAACGUGGUUUCACUUAUUAAUAAAAGGUAUUGAUUGAUGGUUCUGUUUCUUAGCAUUGAAUACUGUUAUGGAAAAACAAGGUCAAAUAUACAGAAAGUUGAAUGAUAUAUAAUGAUACAUAUCAGGAAUAUUAAGAAGGGAUCAUACUGGAUCCCUAAAUUGUUUGUUCACUUGUUGAAUUAUAUCCUUCAUGCCCUCAAUCCUUCCAAGAAUUGCAUCCUCACCAAACUCAUCACCCACGCCAAAGAGACGAGUCAUCUGCCAUGUAAUAUUUAGCAUAAAGCAAGACAUUAUACAUUCGAGCAAUAAUAUUCAUACACUCAACAUACGCUGUACUAGAAAAAUACCCAAAUUACUUCAUAACUAAUUAUUUAGGCAUAGAAGGAUUGUCUUGUAGGCAUCAUAAGCUAUAAAUCCAAGUUUAAUUUUGUACCUGUAUGGUUAUUAUAUAAAAAGAGGGGCAAACUAGGGUUCCUGAAACAGAUGGAAGAAUAUAGAAAAGAACAAAAAUGAUGGACCAUCAGAAUUCAUUGCAUGUAGAGUUUGUAAAUUUGUGUAUGAACUCGGUCCUAUAUAUGUAAGCAUACAUAUGACAUGCAUCAUGAGAAGUACCAAGGAAAUUACUAAUCUAAAAGAUAUAGAACUCUCUUUCCAUAUUGAGAACACACCUGACCUAACAUCCCGCCAAAUUUAUUCUUUAAGCUCAUCAACUGCCCAAGACCCUUUUCCAAUGUUGAAGGACAUUGCAACAGCCGGAGAGUAUGACCAGUGGGAGCUGUAUCAAAUACUAUUAUAGAGUAGUCCAUUGUUUGCACCAAUCUGCAAGAAGUAAUUUAGUGCACAAAGAAGUAAUCUAGUGCACAAAGAAGUAAUCUAGUGAAAGUUGACUAAAAACCUCUCAGCUUUAAUGUGCAGCUUAAAAGGUUCGUUAUAGGUGUUGCCCCCCAGAGUUCAGAAGAUACUAGCUCAGCCCUCUAUUCAGCCGGUUCAAAAUCAGGUGCUAGCAUCAAAGAGAGUUUAAAAGCUCCCAUGACAGAUUUGGCAAUUAGCCAGUCAGAGUUUGAGUUAUAUGAUGGUGACGAGGAUGACGAAGUGAUUUUAUUUAGGCCAACAUUGAGUGAGAAGCGUCAUGAUGAAAUAUCUGAAUUGGUCCCGCCAGGGGAAGUGGUAAAUGGGAUGAAUGCUUUCUCAGAUGAAACUCAGCUUUAUAGUGCUCCUCUUUCAGCUUUUGAAGUCGGUCUGCACCAGAAUUCUGCUUUUUCUUCAGGUCCACAGGCACCAAUGCCUGUUACUGCUUUUUCUUCUGGUCGACAGUCACCUUUGCCUGUUCCUAAUUUUGUGUCUCAACAAAUGCAACCAAAUCAGACCAGUUCUAGCUCCAGGAACCAACAUGAUUUUCUUGCGAAAGACUUGGAAGGUUGGAGCUUGGUGGAAAGUGGUCGUGUGAUUGAUCUCAGGAUGCAGAAUGAUAUGAAAGUGUCUAAUGUUGCUUCGUUAUCUCUUCCCGUGCAGCAAUUUAUCAGUCCUGGUUAUACAGGUAUAUAUUCUCAGGCAGUAGGCCCGUGAACCAUUACGCAAAACCAGAUCAACCCAAUUUCAUCUUCUCGGGCACCGGAUGUGCCAAAUAAUUUUGAGUUUGUUGCAUCCUCUGGAUACAAUGGAGGCAUCAUUGCACCUAAGGUGUCUUCAGCAUUGCAAGCUAUGUCUAUGAAAGGUCCAGCCAAUCGUCCUGUAAGGCAUUUAGGCCCUCCACCCGGGUUCAACUCUGUUCGUCCAAAGCAAGGUUUUGAACCGUCUGUUGCAAUGAGUGGUGAGAAUCCAUCAGUGGAUAAUUAUAGCUGGUUGGAUGGAUAUACGCAUCCAUCAUCUAUAGGUCAUUCGAGUCUUAAACAGUCUACUGGAUAUCCAUCACAUCCAGGAUUUCUGUACAGUGAAGAGGGCAAUGCCCCUUUAGAGGGAGCUCGUUUCCCUUUUCCUGGAAAACAAGUUUCUUCUGCGCAGUUUGGAGCUGAAGAUAGAAAUGGACAGAUUCCAGAGAGUUUAAACUUGCCCAAUGAACAAAUGCAGCAGCAGCAGCAGCAGAGUGUUCCACCACCACAGCAAUACCAAGGCAAAUCUUUCUUGAUGAAUCAUCGUAUCG